UAUCAAGUUCUAGUUGAGGAACUUGCAGCUUUGUUUAUGGACGAGGAAGCUGCUUCAGCAAGCCUAAAGAACCUUCCUUACCUAUUUCUUAACGGUUCCAUUCAUCAUAUUUGUGGUUAAACCAUUCCUUUCUAGUUUCUGCUUCAUGAAAAGUAAACCAGAAAUAUGAAGAGUUUAUAGUUGUUUUCAAGCAUGUUUGUUAUUGAGGAAGUGGCUUUUCUCUGUUGAAUUGAAGGACUUGCAGUUUGUCAUUUAUCAGAGUCACUGAAUCUCUGUCUGGGAUUGGUAAUUUCUCAUUAUCUGAGUACAAGUGGAGUUGCAUAAACAUUACAUGGGACUGGAUCAUUUUGGGGCUUUUCUUAAAUGCUUGAUCUACUUUCACUCCAAAUAAUUUUUUUUGUGGCAGUGACGGACUACGUUGUCACAAUCUGUAUUUGGUGGCUGACUAAAUCUGUAUAUUACAGGGUAUACCAAUUGCUUGGUGAAUCAGGUACUUACUAUGGUGUACGCUUUGGAAAGAAUAUUCCAUGGGUGACAGAAUUUCCAUUUGGUGUUAUAAAAGAUCCUCAAUAUGUUGGAAGCAUUUUGAGCCUUCUUGCAUGUCUAUCUUGGGUCCCCUUCCAAUACAUUCUUUUGUGGUCUCUGGGGUGUGUAUUUAUGAUUCAUGUGGAAUCUAAAGAGGAUCCGGCUACUCGAGCAAAGCUACUUUCUUGAUUACAAGAAUUGCAGUUCACUAACCAAUGAUCUUGAAGACUUUGAUGGGGAUCAUAAUAUGAAGGUGCUUUACUGACUUUUUUUAAUCUAGUUUAAUAACACCUUUUGAACAUGUUGCCCCUUGUGUUUGAAUUUAUAUUUCAACUUUUUAUAAUUAUUUACAAUGUCUGUCACUCAUUCUCAUAAAAAGUCAUUAAGGUUGUUCCUUUUUUUUUUUUUCAGUGAUUUUUUCGCAGUUAUUUUCAAUUGCAGCAAUAUGCACAUGUAUCCAUUAAGCAGUCGAUAACAUUUAAACGAUCAACAAGAUAUGACCCUGACUUUUGGAGUGUGCAUUACGUUGUAAUGUACUAUUAAACUUUUGGCAAUUGUUAUUUGUAUUAAUGGUCUGUUUGGCUCAACUGUGAAGAGUAUUUGGCAAUUAUUGCUGAUGGAAGGUCAUUGAUAACCUAUGAAUGUUAGGUAGUCAAUAAAAAUAAGCUGUUUUUUUGUUAUAUAUCAUAUGACAAUUUAGGAUAACUUUAUUUUUUAAAUAUAUUGACAAUACAUCUUAUUUAAUGUUCUCUCUAUUGUGAUGGUGGAAAUUUAGUUAAGAAAACUUCAAUUUGAAUGUUUGUAAUAAAUAAAGAUGUUACCAUAAAUAGGAUAUCAUACUGCUGUAGUUUUUUUAUGGUAUAGUUACUUCUCAUAUUCCAAUACUUAUAUCUCAUUGUUGAGAAUUGUAAAUAAUUCUGUCACAUGAUAAAUUUACUUGGUAAAGGGUGAUUUUGUUAGUAAUGAAUUUCAAUAGGGGAAACCUAGCCCAAAAUUAGAAUGAAGUCAAGACAGCAAUCUACUAGGGAGCUUUUUAGAUCAACAGCCGUUAGGGCCUGUCUCUUCAAAUAACUCAAUGAACGCUUUUGGUUCAGCUGUUGGGACCAAAAAGCUAAUAGCUGCAUUAGACAGAAUAAACCAAACACCUCCUAAGAUUUCUAGCACAUAUCAGUUAUAAGAUGUUUGAGCUUUUGAUGACAAGUUUUUCUGUUAAGCCAAUUGCAUGAAACCUAAAAGGGAUAGAAUUCAUUUGUACAUAUUUCAAGCUUGGACAAAGUGAACACAAAUGCUUUAAAUUCCAAUUCCCUGAUCUAAAACUUUUAUUUGAAUUGAAUCAACACUGCCUAUAUCAUAAAUUGCAAUUGUUUCAUGAAUUUGUGGUUGCUUGAUUGUCACAAACAGCAAUAAUCAUUUGCCUUAUUGUUUGAAAUCUAUUUGCAAGUUGACACUAUCAAAUUUAUCUGUCAAUGUGAUUUUUCAACACUAUGCCUUCCAUGUACAAAUAGAAGUUAAAGAUUGGAAAAGAAGGAGAAGAUGGGGAAAAAGAAAAUGAAAUUAAAAAACAAAAGAAAAAGGAAAAUUGAGUCUCUUUUUCUUCUAUGCCAGAACCAGGGACAAGUCUAAAAUUUGCAUUGCCUGUUUUAUAUCUUCAAAAUCGAUGUCUUUCAGUUUGCCAGUCUUAGAUGAGACAAUCGUGCAUUUCUUUUCUGCUGCAUUUGGAACAAAUAGUUUACCUUUCUCUUCAGAUGAAAACAGUGCAAUGCUGCAAAAAUGUCAUCCAAAAUACUAAUUAGAGUUGCCUCUUCGCAUUAUGUAAUACUCUUUGAUCAUAUUCUGAAAAUUAUUGACAUGACACAUACCUAUACUAUGCUGCACAUGCAUAAAUUUUAGUUUAAAACACUCAGAUACUGAUCAACAGUAGCUUUGUGUCUACAAACUUAAAUCAGGAGGUUAUGCAAUCAAUCAGAUUACAUGAGUUAUAUUUAGCAGAGAACUUACCUAGGUUUCUCACGUGCAUUUGCAAAUUGGAUGGCUGCUGUGUUUGUAGCUAUUACCCCAGCUGAGUCAUUGAUGAGAGCUGCCAGCUGAAGCAAAAACGAUUUAUAUUUAAUGUUCCCCAAAAGUUAUCUUACUAUUGAUUAAACCUUGUGCAAGCGUUUUUGUUGGAAGUUAUACUAUCUCGUGGCAGAAGUCAUUCUAUAUAUUCAUGUGAUAGAUGAGCAUUCAAAUGUGCAAUGGCUAUUUCUUUAAAUUUAAUGGAAUUUAUAGAAUGAUGCAACGUAAUGCAUAUUCUAGAUCACACAUGGUGUUUCAGCUUCAUGCUCCAAGAUAUUUUGUACCAUACAAGCAAGGUCUGUGCAGAAGGUGAAGGAAAAAAUCAAUAAUUGUUCAGUCUCCUAGAACUAGUUGUAAAAAAAGAAAAUAUGCUUUGCAUUUUUUUGUGCUCCAGAUUGAGCAUAUUUUCCUGCAACUUCUCUCUUUCUCUCAAGGCAGCAUUUUGAUUAUCAGAAAAUGAGUGGAAGAAGACACAUACCUGUCCAGGAGUUGUGAUGAAGACAAUACUGGUAUCAUCACCAACUAUUUCCUCUACAUUUUCCCUUUCCUUCUCAUGUGGAAUGACGAAAACUGGCUUAAAAUCCCUGUUUUCCAUGUAAUCAUCAAGUUUUGCAUCAAUGUCUUAAAACCGUGACAAAGGUAGAAAAAUUGAUAAAAUAAUGUACCUCAUAGCGUCUGCUAUUUCAGCCCAUACUUGGAGAGGCAGCAGGCUAUCAGUAUCACCCCUAGACUGCAUUGUGGCCUUUGAAUCUGAUUCAAUCCCAUGAAUUACAAUAUAUUUUCCUUUCUCUGCACCCACAGCUCUAUAUUUUGCUUCUACAAACUCUUUCAGCUUCCUUGAAAUGGAGACUCUUAACGGAGGCACUGGCUGCCUCGGCACACUUCGAAAGGGUCUUCCCAACCAAUCAAUCAUCUGAUGAUACCUAAACCAAGAAAUGCCCUGAUGAAAACUUCCAAGAUUGACUAGACACCAGUUUCCAGAAAGUUUUGCAAUGUCUCAUUUACCAGGUACUAAGUUCUACAAAUAACAGUACUGUGACAAGAACUCACAUGUGAUAUCCACCUUCUGAAAGAUUCGUACUAUCUGGUGUAAAUGUUUCUGAUAGUAGUAGUCCUGCUCCUGCUGCAUUUACAUUUGGGUAAAUGUAGCUGACUGUAUCUCUAGCAGAUGCCAUAAACAAGAAUGCUGCAUGGCCAAGCCCUGCCAGUUUUGUUGAUAAGACCAUGUCAUAGUACCUAUUCUGCAAACAGAAGAGGAUACAUCUUUACAAGCUAACUGCAAUUGGUAAUUUCUGCAAAUUAUAAGUGUGCAAAUAGGAAACACAUCCUAGUUGUGAUUUGUGAUUCAGUCCUGUAGGAUUAUGGCUUCCUGUGCCCGUAUGAAUUGCUGAAGAGGAUAUCUGACAAUUCAGUUCAACCUGGACUUAAAUAAUUUUUAGAUUCAUUUUCCACUUGGCUCAAAAUUAUUAAUCUAUGUUAUUUAGUAGUUUCAUGCUAGCUAUCGUAUGGAAUUCUAUUUUUCCAUCAUUUGUUGAGAACAUUUAUGAGUUCAAAAGCAGACCCAUCUAACUGGAAAGAAAAAAUGAUACUUGUUAUUUUCUGCUAUGGACCAUGGAGUAGUUCUAGAGUAUGUAUAAAGAAAGAAAGAAUUUCUUCAAUGGGAAACACUUGGAGUUGGAAAGGUAACAGUGAAUGGUGUAAUAAUUACAGAUGCAAUUAUUAAUAUACUAAUUAUGUUUAGUAUUAUCCAUGAAAAAGGAGUAAUAAUUAAGCUUGUAUAGUUGGAUAUGUUUGUUAUGCCUAUGUAAAUGAAAGAUAUAAAUUAAAUUUAUAAUGUCCAUUGAAGUAUUUAUUAGAAUUAUUAUUAUUAUUCUUAUUAUUAUUCUUAAUAGUUACAAGAGCAAUUUUUCGUUUCAAGGAAAUUCAUGUUAUAAGCCCACUCCUACUCUAGCCAAAAAACUGAUAAAAUCACUUUUUUUUUUUUUAAUAUUCCAAUUGUUUGUGUUAAAGAAGCCGGGAAUACUAUACCAACUAACCUUAAGAACUCCAAGCAUGUCAGUAUACUCAGCUGGCUCAGGGAAAUCAUCAUCAGGAUCAUAAACAGUAGCCCAUCUCACAUUCUUGUUCAACUCAUAAGUUUGUUUCCCUCUUGCUGAUGCCACUAUAUCUAUUUGUACACCAGGGUACCUUCAAUAAACACAACACUAUUCAAAUCUCACCAUCACCAAAUUACAUAAAUUUACACAACCUAUUUCUGUAAUGUUACCUAUCCUUGAUCAACUGAAUUGCAGGAAAGAAGAGCAAGUUCUCAUAAACACCACCAGAAAUCACACAGCAGCAUCUCCUAACAUCACCUCUAAUCUUCAAUGGCAAAGAAGCAAUCUCCACAUUGUAACCCAUUGGGAACUUGAGGAACCCAUAUGGGUUAUCGGGGUUAUCAGGUGGCCUGGGAUCUUCCUCUUGCUUGCCGUCUGCAAACAGUGAGCCAUAUUCCAUGUCAGGGUCCUCUCCGUCGUCAAAAAGGUCUAGCCAUGGGUUCUUUUUCUUUGCGUAGGUGAGAGUGGUUGGUUUUCUAGUGCAUGGAGUGAAGAAUGAUGGCUUGGUGAAGUGAGCCGAGGGAAGUGAAGAAGGUGGGUUUGUGAGAAAAGGGGAGAUGGUUUUGGGUAGCAGAGAAGUUGAAGCCAUGAAUUUUCGUUGAUUUCAGCUCUGCUAUUACGGGAGUUAUUAAGGUUUGGGAUUUCAUUUCAAUGGGUGGAAGCUGGUUGGAUAAGUGGGUCCCCUGCUCCAUACUUUUUUUUUUUUUAUUCUUUUUGGCUUUUUAGUUUUAGUUUUUUCCCAUUUAUUUGUUAUAAAAAAAAGAAAAAGAAAUUGCUUAGAUAUUGACUUCUUGGCAGGGAUAAAUGGUGAAAUUAUUAUUAUUAUUUUUCUUCUUUUGGAAAAUAAUUAACCUGGCAUGUAUUAUUGUCUAUUCUUUUGAAGGUAUAUGAGUUUAGACUAUAAGAUUUUUCCUUUUUAAAUCUAAUUUCAUCUCACAAAUACUUAAUAAAUUAAGAGAUUCAAAGUUAAAAAUUUCCAUUUAUGUAAAAAAAUAAAUUUAGGAUAAACGGCAUCAUGGAUCUAAAAAAUUUCCAUUUUUUCUUUUUGGUAAUCUCCCUGUACUUCAAUAAACAAAUCUUUUUUUGGCAGAGAUGGAUUAAAUAUUUGAUUAAAAAUUAUCUCUAAUAAUUAAAAAAAAAAAAAAUCUUAUACGAGUAUUUUUAAUGUAAUGCCCCAGAGACUACGACUGAUCGACGGUGCUACAUUCCGUUACCGGUUCUCGAUCGGCAAAAGCCGGCUAUUCUCUUGUAUGACGUGGCUCUUUUUCACUGGCCACCUCUCUCUCUCAUCCUGAUUCUUUGCUUUCUUCACAAAAAAAGUCCAACCGUAAAUUUCCUACCACCGUACCUUAUUUUCUCUCCAGUUUCCUGCACUUUCUCUCUCCCCAAACAUAACUUCACUCUUACUACUGCAGAAGCACAGUUUUCGUCCUUGGUAACCACAAAUAUUCCAACUGGAAGAGAAAUUUCAAAACUUUACCAAGGUCAUUUCUGGAACAAUAAUUCUGUAGCAGACAAUGUCGGCCCCACCGCGAGUCCGGUCGAUGAACAUUACAGAACCGGAGAACAAGGCACCACAAAAGCCGGUAAAGAAAGCUGAGAAACCUCAGCAGCAGCAAGACAUUGAGUCCAAGGACAAGAAACAUGGGAAAGUGGCGUCGGCUGUUUUGCGACAAAAGUCGAUGAAUGGAUCGUGCUCCUCAGACGCCUCGUCUGAUUCUUCGCACAGCCGGGCAUCGUCCUCGUCCUCGCUUUCUGUUCGGUCAUGGUCGAGUGGGAAAAUGGCGGUGGCGGCACGGAGGAACGGAGUGGUAAGGAGAAAGCAAUGUGAAGUAAGAAUUGACAAAGAGGCGAAAACCGGCGGUGAUGAUGAUAGUGUGGUGGUGGAGAGUGGCAAUGUGCUUAGCGGAAAUAGUGGACUACUGGAUGCAGCUGAUCGGUCGGAAAUAAAGAAAAGGUGCGGUUGGGUUACACCCAGUACUGGUAAGUUCUUGUAUUGGGUAUAUAUUCAGUUGAUUUUUCUCUUUAAUUUUCUUGUGAUUUAAGAAUGCUUAAGAAUUGGGAUAUUUUCAUGGUGAUGGGUACUGCUAUUUUUGACUUGUUUGGAAAUGAGAAGGAAGGGUAUCGUAUGAAGUUUUCUUCUUUAACGUGGGUUUGCAGGUUCAUUUUAAUUUUUGAAAAUUGAAGAAACAAGAAGAAAUAAGAAUCAGAAACUUAUGUUGGAAUGGCCUUUUUAAGUUUAAUCUAAUCUAGCAACUGAUAGGCAGGUGAUCAUGAUAUGCAAGUCCAUUUAAUCAACUCUGCCCUUCGUAAGCAUUAGAUUCUGAGGUGUUAUUAGGUUUCAUUUUGCAGCUAUGACGCUUAUAAUUUCUUUUUUUCGUGUUGUUUGGGUCUAGUUGGAUGCAAACAGUUAGGACAUAUUGUUGAAAAACUGUGGGGGAACGUUGAGUUUAGGAAUCCUUAGUGCUUAGCUUUCUGAUGUAUGAGCUGACUUACAAAUAUGUCAUGACUUGAAGCGGCCUGAAAAGAAGUUAACACUUAACCUCAUGGAUGGAAGGGCAUUUGACAUGGCAGUAACUGGAAAAGAACUAUAUAGUCUAUUGGAAUAAUUAUUAAAAGUUUUACUUUCAUGAUAUCCAUCUGAAACUAUGUUCAGAAUUGAUUGUGUUCAAAAAUUUUGUGAUGUGUUUAGAAUUUAUUUAAUUUUGCAUUGCUUCUCCCUAAUUCUCUUUCCAUAUUGUUUUCACCUUCCACUUUGAAAAUUAACGUGUCCUUAAUCUAUGGAACAAAUUCCUAAUAAAUUUGCAUAUAACUUAUGGCUUAACCACCUUGAUAUAUUUGCAAUUAUGAAGCCUUCACAGUGGUGCUUAAUGGUCUUUCUGUAAAGGGAGAAGGUGUAAUCCUCUAUUCGGAAUUUCGAGGAGUAAUUGACCUGACAUUACAUGAGACAUUGAUAGCUAGCUCAUAUGACAAGAGAAGAGAUAGAAUUGAUAAUAAGCAAGCUCUUUUGGUAAGAAAAGUGAGAAAUUAGUAAUAAGUGUGGAAAAUUAAGAAUGCAGACUCUCCUAUUACUAUUUAACUGAGGUUAUCGCAUAUGUAGUGUGAUGCAUCUACGGAUAAAAGGGAAAAAAAUAUAUGUGAUUGAUAAUUUUGGGAUAAACUUAGAAAGGUGAAUAUUAUAUCAGAAAUUUCAAUAGUAUGGCAAGAUGUUAAUGUCUUGAGGACAUCAUGCGCUCGCGUCCUCAAGCGCUCACCCUUGACAACUGUGUUCGCGGGAAACCUUUGUCUGUGCAUAGAGUAUGGUUGGCUGCGCCUACCUCUUGACAUGGUUAAUUUCAAAUCUGGAGAUGCUCAUUUAUGUGCAUUUGGAGCUUUCAUCUCCAUCCUUAUUUGGUCAUGCUUCAGGGGUAAGGUCUAUAUAUAUGUACCUUUAGGCCUGAAAGAAUGUUCCGAAUAAAAAAUUCAUUGGAAUAUCUGAUUUAGGUGGAAGAUUUGAUGUCUGAUUGCAUUUACUUGUGGAGAGUUAUGCUUAUGGUAGUAAAAUUAACCUUUUUUUUAACCAUGAUACAUCUGGUUAGGGAGCUGCUUAUAUUAUCUGACUUGCUGUUUUUCAUCUUUUGUACUUUACAUGAUAUCUCACUCUUAAUUUAAUUGAUAUUUUUAGCUAACAAAGCAUUUUCUUCCUUCCAUCACACAGAUCCAUGCUAUGCAGCUUUCCAUGAUGAAGAAUGGGGAGUACAGGUCCAUGAUGACAAGUCCGUAAGCUCAGGACAAUAUUUGUUUUAUCUUCUCAAGCAUUAAAAAGCUAUUUCCCUGUUUCCCGAAAUAGGCUUACUUCUAUUUCACAUAGUUUAAGGAAAUAUGGUGAAUAUAGUUUAACCAUUUAAUUCUUUUACUCUUUUCCUGAUAGAACCUCUACCCAUAUUGCUUAAUAAAAAUCAAAUAAUUCAUGUUACUAAAUUAUUCUCAGAACUUAUGAAUUUUUUAGAUUUCAAUGCACAUUUCACUGGAGGCAUAUUAAUAAUCUGCUUUUACCAUUUUAAAAGAGAAAGUAGCCCAUAAUUUGGGAUGGAUGAGAAAGGAAAUUUUGCCUAUCUGUGGGAUGAAGUAAAAUUUGUGUGGUAGCUUCUUUAAUCUGAUUAAUCCUUUUUUCUUUCUUUUUUUUUUUUUUUUUGUCUUUUUUUCGAAGAUCUGAUUAAUCCUUUCAACAUGCAGGAAACUGUUUGAACUGCUAUGUCUCUCAGGUGCUUUGGCUGAACUUACUUGGCCUGCCAUUCUCAACAGAAGGCACAUAUUCAGGUAUCUGCUAUUUUAAAACAGAAGUUAUUUUGUGAGCUAUGAUGACUAUAUGUACUUGCUGUGCUCAAGUCUUGACAAUUAAAACUGUAGUUGAAUUGUCUAUGCUCUAAUGUUUAGUAGGUUUCACUCUGAUUUGAAGGGAUAUUUAUCUGUAUGCAGGGAAGUAUUUUUGGACUUUGACCCGUUUGCUGUUUCAAAAUUAAAUGACAAAAAGAUAGCUGUGCAAGGAAGUCCUGCCAGCUCAUUACUAUCAGAAAUAAAGCUGCGAUCCAUCAUUGAAAAUGCGCAUCAAAUGUGCAAGGUAGAGACAUGGGCCUUUUCUUUGUACUUAUACUGCAAAACUCUUAUUCCAAUUUUCUUUUCCGUGGUUUUCCUCUCUCAUUUUUUUUGCAAAUAAGCACAAAUGCAAUUUUUGUUGGAAAAAUAUUGCGGGCACCUAUAAUCUUCAAACUGGUAAUUUACCCUCCAAAAAGAAAGUAAGCUCAUGUCCAUUGCAACCGACUAUGCAGGUCAUAGAUGAGUUUGGGUCUUUUGACAAAUAUAUCUGGAGCUUUGUAAACUAUAAACCCAUAGUUAACCAAUUCCGACACUGCCGUCAAGUUCCAGUCAAGACCCCAAAAGCAGACAUCAUGAGCAAAGAUCUAGUAAGAAGAGGAUUUCGUUGUGUGGGGCCAACAGUCAUGUAUUCAUUCAUGCAAGCGGCUGGAUUGACAAAUGACCAUCUCAUCAGUUGCUUCAGAUUCCAGGAGUGUGUUACUGGGAGACAAGUAAAGGAAAAGGAUGCGAGUCUAAAGCCAAAUACUGACAAGAAAGAACGCAUGGAUCCAAUCGAUAUGGGAAGAUAAGUGCUAUGGAUGAGUAUAGUUCCUCAAAAUAACCACGUCAAGGUCGAUUAUCUGUUCUGUGUAAUUUUUGUAUAAAUAGUUACCACUACUGCUGGAAGUCAAGCUCUCUGUUUUUCAUUUUGGUAUGUAAUUACUUAUUUGAAUUGAUGUGACUGUAAGAUGCAAGCAUUAUUUUGUUCGAUCAAGUGAGAAUACGUUGAAAGAUUCUUCGAGAAAAUAUACCUCAAAAUGAAAAUCUGUCUAUGUAUUAUUUAUGGCACCAAUUCUUGGCAGGCUUUCAGAUACAGGGAAUUUUAUCUUUCCUUACAUCUGCAGGAAAGGUUGCUACACUAGUGAUGAGAUCAUUCAACCAGCAGAUUCUUUUUAUUCAGGUAAUAGCCAUCAUGAUUCAACUUGUUCUCUCUAUUGUUUUGUAAGAUCAGAAGCCUUUCUGAUAAGAACUUAUCGAAUCCGACAGAAAAUCAGAGUUUCAUUUUCAGUUAGAUGAUAAUACUUUUCAAUAUUCCUUAUUUUUGUUUCAGUGUGUAUGUGCAGUGUAUUCAUGUAUGCUUCUACUUCUCUUUCCCUUUGAUCACAGUAAAAAAAUAUUCUCCCAGACAUGGCUGCGCUUACCAAGCACAGAGCCUAGCAUCUGUUUAAAGGAAUAAGCCAUCUGUUGCAUCCCAAGUUGUUGGCUUUGGACUUUUAGGCUCCCUUUAGUUCAUCAUACACUGCAAGAAAAUUCUAAAUACAACUCAUCUCUUGUUAUAAAUUGAUGCAUGUACUGUACACGCAAGCUUGUUAGAAUUCCAGGUGCAUUAACAUAGCAUCCAUUCAUGUAAGAACUAGGAGCAUAAUAAAGUUUUUAAAAAAGUAAUAUUUAUUAUUCUUUAAGCAUUUAUUUAUGCAUGAACUCAAUCAAAAGAUAUCAUGAAUUCAGAGAUGGAGAAUGUAUUGAACCCACUUGGUCCUAGAAAAAUUCAAGGUUUUUGACCAAAAGAAGCCAUAAAAGAAGCUUGAGAAGUCAAGAUAGCAGGUUAUAUUUGACUAAGAUGGCACUAAUUGCCAAUUCUCAAGUCUUCCCAAUCCCAGCCACUUUCUUCAAAGCCGUCUGAAAUGAAUAUUUUUCACUUUUUCCCAUGGCCUGGUAAUGUCGUUUUGUUGGGAAGUAGUUGUGGUCCAAUUUUUAUAUAUAUUUAAUACUUUAGCAAAUAAUAACUACACUUUUUUUCAAAAGAUAAACCCAUGUACUGAUCGUAACAUGAACCGAAUCGUAAUUAUUAGAUUCAAAUCAAAACCAAAUGAUAAUGACACUUUGUUCAAAGUAUUUUGAUGUAAAACAAAAUAAUUCAAGACAGUAUUAUGAGGUAGAAGAGUGAUGCUGUCAAAUAAACAUCCACAGCCUAGAAGAUCAAUGAAGUGGUCCAAGUUAAUGUAUCUAUGCAAGUGAGCACUCAUUUGGCCAACUAAACUCCUUCAAGUCAAUUUUGGACAGCUACUUUGUUUAACAUUAAUUUUGGCCAACUAAACUGUAAUAAAAUUCUCAAAACCUAGAAAAUGUAUUACUCUUUUGAAAAGAUGAAUUCACGUUCUUAAAAAUGGCUAGAAAAUAUUUUUUUCAUUCAACAAUUUUUUAAGUACCCAAAAUGACAAAAAUGCAGAAAAGAUUUUCUGUAAAAGAAAAGGAGCUUUUGUUUUCCCUUUCCCCUUUUCUUCUUUUUGAUGUUGUAUUUACAAAUACAUCAGAAUCCAAACUUCAAAAUGGUGAGAGAGAUUACAAACUCAAAAUAAUUAUCAUCUAAAUUAUACAUAUAGUAAAUGGCUAAAUUUUCUGUGUGAUCCUACUGCAACAUUCUUCCUGAAAUAGCUGCUGCUAGUGCUGCUGUGAAAUUGGGAUCUUUAGUCAAGGAAGAAGCCAUCUGUUCCACCAAUAACUGCCUGACAUCAGAACUACUUUCCAUUCUUGAAUUUGAAAUUCUAGCAUCAUUGUUGUUGGUCUUGGAUUUUGUUAAGUCAAGAGUAACGGUCGGUCCAGAAGAGCCAAGUGAGGCUGAGCAGGGUACUGAGCCAAGGUUCAGACUACGAGUUGCAGCUGAAGUUGCCUCCAUUUGUGAGGGAUGUGGAUGAUUGUGCUCUCCUUCAUAAGUUGCCACUAGAACAGAUUGGUCUUCAAUGCUUCUUUGAACCUGAAGAGAAACAGUUAUUUUAUGUGUAAAUAAGACAACAAAUUCACUUUCCAUGAAAUAUGAUCAAUACCCAAUUGCUUUUAUGUAAGAAGAAGAAUGUUGUAAUGAUUUUUGGCUUAAUUUACCUUCUUCUUCACCGGGCAAGUAGGAGCAAAAGAGCAUUUGAAGUAAGCUCUUGGAGACGGAUUAUCUCUUGUGACCUUUUGCCCAUAUUUUCUCCAUUGAUAUCCAUCCUUGACAACCUGCAAAACGUUAAAAAUCUGGAUUUGUAAGAAAUAUUGAACCAAAACUGGCAAAUUAUGAGUGUUUGAUGAUAUUAUGGUACUUACUAGGCUUGCAUCUGAUGCUUGUGUCCUCACAUAGACCUUUGAAACCUUUGAUUUGAUUACUUCUUCCUUUGGUUUCUUGCAUGAUUCUUCAUCAGUUGAGCUGCUCUCAGAAUUCCUAUUCAUUGCAACUGUAUUAUCAUUGAUAUUGUUGUUGCUGCUCUCAGAUUUUCUCUUCCUUGAUGGGCUAAGUUCCUUGUCUGGAUUCUUGCUCAUGUAAUCCAUUAACUGGCUUCUCAAAACGUUGUAGUUUUCACACAGAACAUUCAGCAUUUCUGUGAGCUUCUUGUUCUCUGCGCUCACUCGGUUCAAUUCCUCUACCAAAGCUCCAUUCUGAAUAUAAAAUAAACACAAAACCCACAAGAUAAUUUUCUGGUUAAAAAUUCAAAACCAAGAGAAGCAACUGAUAGUAAUCAUGUUUAGCAAAUUCCCAGAUCGUAAACAAAAUCAGUAUCCAGUUAAACUAUAUAGAAUCUAACCUCUUGUUUCACAGAAACCUUCCUCCCCAACUCCAUGAAAUUGCUUUGAACUUCUUUGGACAAGCCUAAUCUUUCUCGUACAGGAGCAACAUCGUUAGAACGUCGAGGAUUAAUGUUAAGAUCCAAAGAAGUAUCUACCAAUGAAUAAGAAUAAUCCAUAGCUGCCGAAGUCGAACUAGUAUCCAUCCUUACAAGUACUGGAUCAAAACCCAGACCACGAAUUCUUGAUAUUAUCCCUCUCAAAGCUGCUCAAAAGCUUGCAGUAGUUGAAAACGAAAACCCAGAUGGAGAAAGCUAGGUCUCUAGUCUCUAUUCGUUUUGGAGAAGAAAGAAGAAGGUGGAAAGUGAGAAAAUUAAGAUAUGGUACUUGCUGGAAUGAAGAGACUAUAUAAAGCAAGGAGAGAUUGAAGAAGAAGGAGAAAGAAAAGGAAGAAAUAGAGAGGGUCAGUAUGUCGGUUGAGCACAACAAUUUUGUCAAAGUCAAGCGCCCACCAAAACAGCAUUAAACAAUGAAUGUUACAUGUGGGUAUUGUAAUACUAAAUGGUUGGGUUCAGGUCCUCUCGUUUUACAUGGGCCUUUCUAAUUUUUAGUCUAUUAAUUUUUAAAUUUAUUUUUCAUCUAUUUAAAAUAAUUAAUUAAAUUAACUAUAUAUAUAUAUAUUUACUUUAAUUCAACUCGUCAUCGAUAUGAAAUUUCAAAUCUCAUACAUCUAUAAAGAGUGUGACAUUCCUAUAUUAUUCUGCAUUUUGGAUUUUAUGAUUUCUUUUAAAAUUAAAUAAUAGAGUCUCAUUUACACGAAAUGAUAAUUACAUCCUUUUCUUGUUUCAUUAUCCACCUAGGUAUAUAUUAAUUUCUAUGGUUAUAAAUCUAAUUCCAUGAGCUUUUUCGAUUUUAUUAUAUGGUGAAAGAUAUUAUUAAUAAUUAGGUUUCGGUUGAAAACAAAUAAUCUCAAUUAUUUACUUUAAUUAUACCUAUCUCAUGAUAUAUCUGGAAGGAAAGAAAUAAAAUUAUUUUAAAAUUUAUAUAGUCUAAUCCAAUCACUAUAUCAAGUUAUAUCUCUAUUGAUUUUGACUUAUUACAAUAAAGUGUUGUUUUUAUUGAUUCUCUCAUUUAUCCAUUUAGAUCUUAUUCACUUGCGAUUUGGUAUUUUUUUUUGUAAGAUGUAUUAAAUUUGAAUUGUGAUAUAGUAUAGAAUGAUUAAUUCUCACAUAUUACUACUACUGUCAUAGUUAAAAAUAUUAUGGUAGAAAUGUGCAUAAUAUUAGGUAGAGGAAAUAUGUGUUGUGUCAGCACUCAACAGCAAUUCGUUUAAUUUAUAAUAUAAAAUUCAGAAUAUAAAAUAAAAUUGUAUAUACGAUUUUUUGCAGUUUGCCAUUUAUGGUAACUUUAAUUAUGACUAUUUUAAAUAUUUACUCUGACAUUCCACAGAUUUCAUUUUAAUGGAUUCUGCUAUAGAUAAAUAUUGCUCCUCAUAAUAGCUAAACUUUAUUUGAGAUACUUACUACCAUCAAAUUGAUAGCAGUAUCAAUUCAUAAAUUUUCGCUAAUGUUGUAAUAAGUUUCACUGUUACUUGCAGCAUGUAAUACAAUUAUCUUUUGCAUGUAAAAAAUAAAAAAAUUGUUGAAUAGCAUACUUUUUUUUUUUUAUAAUUGCCUACUACAUGCAUGCAUGCAUUUACUUUAAAUUAGCACUUGACUUUAAUCAAUUCCGUACUUAAAUCUAAUUAAGGAAUCCUUCAUUUCAAUUGUAUCCAUAAAUUAAACCUGAAAAUUUUAAAACUAGCCUGCACUCAAUUUUUUAUUUAUUUAUUCAAAAGUAUAUUUAAAAAAAUAUAUAUCUAAAUAAAUUUGAAAGAAUUUAAAUUCUAAUCUUUUAAUUUUUAAUUUUUAUUUAAAAAAAUUAAAAUUACUAUUUAAUAUUUUUUUAGUUUGAGUCCAUAUAUAUGAUAAAACAUAUUAAUUUUUACUUUAAUUUUAAAAAACAUUUUAUAUUAUUUAUUAGUUAAUUAUUUCAUUAAUUCUUAAAAAAUCUAAAAUACUAAAUUGUUUUAAUUAUUCACUUCAUUAAAAAAAGUGAAAUUUUUUAUAUUAAGUCGGUAUUAUUUAAAACCAAUAACACGCUUAAUGAGUUUUUGAUAUUAUAUGUAUUAAAUAAUAAUUUUUCUUAAAAUAUUUAUAUUUAAAUUAAUUAUAUUUUGUAAAAUAAAUAUAUAAUAUUUAAUUUAAUAGUUAUUGGAUUUAUUAACAUAUAAAAUGAAAUUUAGAAUAAUAUAUUUUUUAAUUUGUAGGGCUGAGCAGAAUCCGGUUCAAACCGAAAAAACCGACCGAACCGAAUCGAUUUGAAAAUUUAGUUCGGUUUUUUAUACAUUUCGGUUCGGUUCGGUUUUAAAUUUCAGAAAUUCCGGUUAUUUCGGUUCGGUUCGGUUUUGAUCAGAAAAAAAUCGAAAAAACCGAACCGAACCGAUUAGGGAUAAUAAUAUAUUUUUUCAAUAAUACUAUAGAGAAAUUAAAUUAUAUUAAAAUUAAAAUAUUUUAAUUAAAUUUUAAAAUACUAGAGUAAAAAAUUAAAAAAAUAUUAAAAAUCGAAACCGAUCAAACCGAACCAAAUCAAAUCGGUUCGGUUCGAUUCGGUUUCUGACCAAAAUCAGUUCGAUUUAAUUUUCAUAAAAACUAAAAUUUCAAUUUUUGAUUUAUUCAGUUCGAUUCGAUUUUGAACCGAACCGACCGAAUGCUCACCCUAAUAAGUAAUACAUUAAAGGAAAAUUUAUCGCUUAUAAAAAAAAAAAAAAAAGAAAGAAAAUACAUUAAAGGAAUGUGUUUACGUGUCAAAGCAGGUUGCAAGUUGCCCGUUAAAAAUAUCUAACAUGAGGUGGACCAAUAAAAAAGCGAGUCUAAAGAGAGUGUCCAAAGUGAUUUUGGCCACCAUUUUUCCUAAUUUCAAAUUUAUAAUCUCACUACUAUAGAAAUAAGAAAACUUCCCCCUUUUUUUUUUUUUCAUUUAGGCUUAAAAUAUUAUCUCAUUAAUUUAUAUUAAAAAUAAAAUUUAAUUUUUCUUAAAUUAUUUAUUAAUUAAUUAUGGGUCUCUAAAUUUUUUAUGUUGAUUGUGAUUUAGGUAGGGAUUGAUAUUCUUUUAAUUGAAUAUCUUACAGAUAAUUUGUUGAUUUUGGGCAUGGACUGCAUAUCUAGUUAGAUUUUGUUGUCAGGAAAAUACGCGUUUAAGGAUUCCAAUUGACUUAGGAUGGAAUAAGAAAAAUAAAAAACUAAUUAGUUUAUGUUAUAUCUUGACGUGGAUAGAAGUUGCAUGACUUCCACAUGGUACUUAGCAUAAUUAAAUUAAUUAAACUGUAUACUUAUACAUUUUAACAGAAAAGAAGGAUUCAUUAGCAAUAAAACUACUUAAGGUUUAUUUCAUUUAACUGUCAAAUAUAAUUAAUGGUGGUCGAUUUAUAUAUGAUUUAUUGUAAUUUAUUAUUAUAAUUGAUUUUAAUUGAUAUAUUUUAAAUGUUUAAUAAAUUAUAUUUAAUUGUUAAAAUGAUUUAUAAAAAUAUAUAUUAAUUUAUUAUAUUAAUGAAAUAAAUAUAAAAUUAAAAAAUAAUAGAAAAAAAUAGGUAUAUAUAUAUAUAUAGUCACUAACAAUUUCAAUUUGUAUAAAUAAAAAGAAGCAUCAGACCAUUAACAUGGUACCGCACGUGUUAUGUUACGCUAUCUUGUAACGGAUUCAAAUAGUAUCAAGUUAGGUUUAGAAUAGAUUGAUAGAGCAGAUAUGGCUGAACAGUAUUUUAUUUAAAUUAAAAAAAUAUGAAAUUAAAUUAAUUUAAAUUUUUAUUUAAUUUUUUAUUUGUUUUAAUUUAAUUUAAUUUUAAAUUUUAAAAAUUUCAAUUAUUUUAAUUUGAUUUAAUUUUAAUAAAAAAAAUAAAAAAAUUAAAUCAAAUCGAUUAGUAAUAAUAAUAUAUUAUUUUAAUAAAAUAAAGAUAUUAGAUUAUAUUAAAAUUAAAAUAUUCUAAUUAAAUUUUAAAAUAUUAAAAAAUAGUAUUAAAAAUAAAAAAUUAUUAAAAAUUUAAAACGAUCAAACUGAACUGAAUCGAAUCAAACUAAAUCAAUUCAAUUUAAUUUAAUUUCUGAUCAAAAUUAAUUCGGUUUGAUUUUUAUAAAUAUUAAAAUUUUAAUUAAAAAUUUAAAUUAAUUAAAUCGAACCGAAUCAAAUCUAACUAAAUCGAUUUAAUUUAAUUUGAUUUCUAAUUAAAAUUAAUUCAAUUCAAAUUUUAUAAAUAUUAAAAUUUUAAUUUUAAUUUAUUUAAUUUUACUCAAUUUUAAACUGAAGAUCAAAUGCUUAUUUUGAUAUAAAAUAUCUAAUUUUAAGUUUACAUUCAUUUUAAAUUUUAUGCUUUGAGUAUUGAUUGUCUGUAAUUAUUUAUAUAAAUAAUUAAUUAAAUACAUUUUAAAUAUUUUUUAUUUAUAUUUUACACAUAUUUCAUAUUAAAUUAGAAUUUGAAUAUUUUAUAUCAUUAUUAUAAUUUCAAAAUAUAAAGUAAUAUUCUAAAUUAUGUUUUAGGUAAAGUAUUAAGUUAAAAUUGAUAAAACUAGAAAGAUUCAAUUAUUUUUUAGAAUAAUAAUUAGAUUUUAAAUAGGUUUAAUUAAAUUUUAAAAAAAAUUAAGUAUUAAAUACAUUAAAUUGAUUCAAAGUUGAGUAUGAUAAAUUUUGUGAAAACAUUUAUUAUAAAAACUGAAAUAAUGAAAUUGGAUAGGGCGGUGAUUGGGGUACGUAUACGUCAACGUCACACAGUAGUCAGUAGUGUCAGUCACCUAAUACCUGUGAAGACUCGUAGACGGUAGACCCAAAACUCAAGUUCGUGGGUCAGUCCAUUGAACCUGAAAAUUCUUAUUCCUCUGCGUUCUCAUUCAUGAUUCAUGCAUGUGGUUCGGCUUUUCUUUUUUUAAAAAAUCAAUUAAUUAAUUACAUUAAAGACUGUGAACUACUUAAUUAUUCAUUAAUCUAACCAAGAUUUUAAUUUCCUGUUUGGGAUAUGGAAAUCAAAAUCCUGUGGUCGUACUUCCAAAGCACAUGUUUGAAACUGCUUUCGCCUCCACGACUUCAACUCUGGCUCACGACACUGGGCCCUCCCAUCCCAUUUACUAGUAUAAUUAUAUAAUAAUUGAAUUUUUUAAAAUUGAAUUAAACUAUUUUUUAUUUUUUAUGACAGCCGGAUUUCACUAUCCCGUUAUGAGACCGGACUCAUAACGGCAGUCCGCAUUUUAAGGCUUUUAUAUUUUCUUAAUGGGCCGGCCCAGUCCGUUCGGCCCUAAGAUCAGACCUCUCCUGGGCUUUAGUCUUAAUCUCAUCAUCCAGCUCAGUUCGGAGGAGAAGAAGUAGCCAGCCCAUCCGUCUAGUGGGUCCAUCCGCAUGCGUGCUGGGAGAGAAUUAAAUGGCCGUUACGCAUAGAGCAAAUAUCUGAUAUUCUCGUACGUCCGUAUCCGUAUGGCAGAGACAGGUGGCCCAAUGGCAGCGAGGCCGUUACACGUCACUGACAGAUAAAGGAAAAGAAUAAAAGGGGGGAAACAUUCUCCUCUCGAACCAAGUUCACUCAACCUUUGUAAAACCCUAUUUUUUGGAUCUCAGAUCAUCAAUUGGCGCCGUCUGUGGGAACGAAGGAGAUCUUUUUAUCGUCGGAGUUCCACUCUUACAAUACCCACUGAGAUCCACGAUGGCCAACCAUAAUGAAAACAACCUCGUUAAUACCCCAAAUGACCUGAGCUCUGCUCAGGAGGGACAACAGUUCUCUUUUUCCAGUCCCACAACCCCAAACAACCAACCACCAAUCCCCUUCAACCCCUUGCCGAGCUCGGCAGGGAACAUGCCCGGAGCUGCCUUAUCCAACCAGGACCUCCAAGCCAUGGCCCUUCAACUACAAAAUACCGCCCACUGGUUGGGGCAGAUGAUGCAACAGAGGGGCCUCAAUACCCCAAUGAACGUAUUGCCUGUGGUAGAGGAACCCCGAACCAAUGAACCCCAGCCUACCUUUAACCACCCCCAGACAAACAGCAGAGAAACCGAAGAAAGAGGUAGGAGGGCCGGGGAAGAAGAAGAACCGGAAGCCAGAGUUCGUGGGAGAAGGGUGAGGGAGUUGAUAGAAAACGACGAGGCAGACAAUUAUUCUGCCAGAACAACCAGGAGAACGGAGGAGGAUGAAUGGAAGGAAGAAGAUCGUCUGGAGAAGCGGCCCAGAUAGGAAGAGGAGGGUGUGGAUCAAAAGCUACAGAAAAUGAAGGAGCAGCUCCUGGCUGAGUUGGGAGCGAAAGAUCAUAACCAGGCUCUCUUGCCUACCUCUUCACCUUUCUCGAAAUGGGUGCAACCGGAGACCGUCCCCAAGAAGUUUAUGAUGCCACCCAUGGCAGCUUAUGACGGAGCGGGAAACCCAAGGGAGCACGUCCUCAACUAUAAGACUUUCAUGGAGCUGCAGACUCUAUCGGAUGCCUUGAUGUGCAAGGUAUUCCCCACGACGCUUACAGGGCCGGUACAGGUGUGGUUUAACAAUCUGGAGGCGGGAAGUAUCAGAAGUUUUGGAGACUUGGCCAACGCCUUCAUCAGCCGGUUCAUAGCCGGAGUGCCAGCUGACAGGAAGACCAGCUACUUGGAGACGGUCAGGCAGAGAAGAGAUGAAUCGUUGAGGGAGUAUGUCGCCCGUUUCAAUACAGAGGCCUUACAGAUCCCCGAGCUAGAUGAAGGCAGAGCGGUGGAGGCUAUGCAGAAAGGGACGACCUCGCCCGAGUUUUUUGGCUCGUUGAGUAGAAAGCCCCCCCACCACGCUGGCAGAGCUGAUGAAGAGGGCAGAGAAGUACAUAAGGCAGGAUGACGCCUUAGUAACGAGUAGAUUUGUUAAGGGGUCAGCAGACAGGGGAAAAGCCCUAGAAGAAAGGAGGCCAGAGAGGCAUGAUAAAAAGCAAAGAAAAAGGCCUGAGCCGUACAGGCAGCCCUGGGAUCGAAGGGACCAAAGACCCUUCCCCCCUCGGGUGCCAGAACAAAAGCCGUUUCCCGACGGAUUUCAAAGAACCUGACCCCACUCAACGCCUCCAGAGCCGAAGUGCUCAUGACAGUCCAGAACAAGGAGUUCCUCCAGUGGCCGAAGCUAAUGAGGGCUAAGGCGAGCCAAUGAGAUCCUGACAAGUACUGCCAGUACCAUCGCACGCACGGCCAUGACACCAAUAACUGUUACCAGUUGAUCAGUGAGAUUGAAAGGCUGAUUAAGAGGGGACACUUGUGAAACUUUGUGAAGAAACCAGAGGGGGAAAGGCCUCAGCCGAACCCUACAGCAGAGAGACCCCGAAGAACUGGAGCAGGACCGGUGAAUGAUGGCUCCAGUGGGACCAUCAACAUGAUUGUGGGAGGAACCAGAGGUCAGAUGAGCCGAAGGGGAAAGAAGAGAGGCCGAGACGGGGAGGGCAGCAGUGCCGAGGUCAUGCAGGUAGUUGAACAUUCUCCAGUGACCAUCUCCUUCUCUCCGGAGGAUGUCCAGGGCGUUCAGAUGCCUCACGAUGACGCUCUUAUUGUCGAGGUUGUCAUCCACAACUAUCGAGUGAAGAAGGUUCUCGUCGACGACGGAAGCAAAGUGAACUUAUUACCAUACAGGGUCUUCCAGUAGAUGAGAAUCCCCGAGGAGCAGCUAGUUCGGGACCAGGCCUCAGUCAAAGGGAUCGGAGGAGUCCCAGUACAUGUAGAGGGAAAGGUGAAGCUAGCCCUCACUCUCGGAGAAGCAUCUCUGGCUCGGAUACACUACGCGGUGUUUCUAGUGGUGAAGCUCCCCCUGAACUACAACGCAAUAUUGGGAAGACCUGUGCUGUAUGAUUUUGAGGUCGUAACCAGCAUUAGAUAUCUGGCUAUGAAAUUCUCAACAGAAGCAGGAGUGGCAGUAGUUAGAGGAAGCCAGGAAGAGGCAAGAGCAGUGUACGUGGCCACGGUAUCAGAGCCGAGCUCGGCAGGGGAAAGAUUUGACUCAGAAGUUCUGGAGGUCCGAGAUGAGAAAAAAGAGGCCAGAACAGAGCCGAUCGGAGAGCUGGAAACCUUCCCCUUAUCAGAAGCAGAGGCAGACAAGGUUUUUAGCCUUAACGCCAGCCUGACCGAAGAGCAGAAAACUGAAGUCAUGGCCCUGAUCUGAGGUCACGCAUCAAGCUUCGCCUGAAAGCCUUCUAACAUGCCUGGGAUAGACCCUGAAGUGAUGACUCACAAGCUAAACGUCCUCCCAGAGGCCAGGCCGGUGAAGCAAAAGAAGAGGGUAGUAGGAAGAGAGAAACAGCAGGCCACCAGGGAAGAAGUGCAAAAGCUAGAGGAGGCCAGGUUUAUUAGAGAGGUUAUGUACCCACAAUGGCUAGCAAAUCCUGUAUUAGUAAAAAAAAAAGCCAAUGGCAAAUAUAGGAUGUGUAUAGAUUUUACCGACCUCAACCAGGCAUGUCCCAAAGAUUGUUAUCCCCUCCCUAAUAUUAAUAAAAUGGUCGACUCCACUGCUGGUUUUGAUUAUAUGUCAUCUCUGGAUGCAAUGUCUGCCUAUCACUAAAUCCCAAUGGACAGGUCGAAUGAGGAGAAGACCUCGUUUAUAACAGAAGAUGGGACUUAUUGUUAUAGAGCUAUGCCUUUCGGGCUGAAGAAUGCUGGGGCAACAUACCAGAGACUAAUGAAUAAAAUCUUUAAAGACCAAAUCGGCAGAAAUGUAGAAGUAUACGUGGACGACAUGGUGGUGAAAAGCCCCACUUUUCAGCAGCACUUGAUAGACUUGAGGGAGGUGUUCGAGGUUUUAGAGCAGUACAGAAUGAGGCUGAACCCAGCAAAGUGUGCUUUCUUCAUCAAGGGAGGAAAGUUCUUGGGAUACAUGGUGACUGGAAAAGGCAUCGAGCCCAAUCCUGAGAAGGUGGAAGCCAUCCUGAAGAUGCCCGAACCGACCUGUGUAAGGGACGUCCAGAGACUUACUGUAAGGGUAGUAGCAUUCAAUCGCUUCAUGUCGAGGUCAGCUGAGAGAUGCUUGCCUUUUUUUAAGAAGUUGAGAAAAGUUCUGAACUUUGAAUGGAUUGAAGACUGUCGAGAGGCUUUCAAAGAGCUCAAAAGCUACCUUAGCUCGCCUCAUGUUCUCAACAGUCCGCUGGAAGGAGAAGAGCUCCUGAUUUACUUGUUAGCCUCAGAACAAGCUGUCAGUGCUGUGUUGGUAAGGGNNNNNNNNNNNNNNNNNNNNNNNNNNNNNNNNNNNNNNNNNNNNNNNNNNNNNNNNNNNNNNNNNNNNNNNNNNNNNNNNNNNNNNNNNNNNNNNNNNNNNNNNNNNNNNNNNNNNNNNNNNNNNNNNNNNNNNNNNNNNNNNNNNNNNNNNNNNNNNNNNNNNNNNNNNNNNNNNNNNNNNNNNNNNNNNNNNNNNNNNNNNNNNNNNNNNNNNNNNNNNNNNNNNNNNNNNNNNNNNNNNNNNNNNNNNNNNNNNNNNNNNNNNNNNNNNNNNNNNNNNNNNNNNNNNNNNNNNNNNNNNNNNNNNNNNNNNNNNNNNNNNNNAGUGGAAAGCCCGAGGUGGCAAAGAGGCCAGGCGAGGGAUAGCCCUAGGCCGUGAACGGUAACAGUGCCGGUGAGAGGGCCGGGCUGUUACAUCUGAACAUUGAAAAGAUAGCAUACGCUCUGUUAUUGGCAGUCAGAAAAUUCAGAGUUUACCUAGAAAGCCAUCAAGGAGUAGUAAUGACAGACCAGCCGCUGAAGAAGAUCCUCCACAGAUCGAAAACCUCAGGUCGGAUGCUUGCUUGGUCCAUCGAGAUCAGCCCGUACUGUUUGGAAUACCGGCCUCACACAGCCAUAAAGUCUCAAGCCCUCGCUGACUUCAUAGCAGAAUGUUCUUUCAGUGAGAAACAAGCAGGACCUGGUGAGACACCCCCGGAAGCACCAGAAGGGGAAAGAGAAAGACAGUCCGCUCGAGAAUUCAACUGGAAGUUGUAUGUGGACGGGGCAUCCAGUGCUGGGGGUAGCGGUGCAGGAAUAAUGCUAAAAGGACCUGAGGGUUUCAAAGUCUGUUAUGCUCUGCGCCUGGAAUUCAAAGCCUCUAACAAUGUAGCGGAAUAUGAAGCCCUGAUAAAUGGGAUGAUAAUCGCAAUGGAGGUAGGGGUAACUGAUCUUGAAAUAAAUAGCGACUCCCAGCUAGUGAUCAAUCAGAUAACAGGGGCAUAUCAGGCAAGAGACCAAAUAAUGCAGAACUACUUGGCGAAGGUAAAAGCCAUAGAGGCCGAGCUCGUCGAACAAGGGAUUAUGGUACGGUACCAGAGGAUACCCCGGGAGGACAAUGAGGAGGCAGACUUGCUUAGCCAAUUGUCUAAAGAGGAGCUGGAACAACUCCCUGACGAGGUAUACAUACAACAUAUUAGCACACCUGCUUUUGACAAAACGGCCACUGUAAUGCAGGUUGAGCAGGGCCAAAGCUGGAUGAUCCCAUACCUGGAAUACCUUGAGAAGGGAAAGCUCCCUGAGGACAAGGAUGAAGCAAAGAAAAUAGCUGCUCGAGCUGCCAACUACUAAGCAGUGAGAGGGACCCUAUACAGAAGAGGAAAGUCUACCCCAUGGCUUCGAUGCGUGAGUUCGGAAGAAGCCACAAAGGUGAUGGAAGAAAUACACUGAGGGAUAUGCGGAGCCCACGAGGGAGCAGAAACGCUGGCGAAUAAGAUAUUCAGGCAAGGAUACUACUGGCCCACCAUUAAAAGGGAGGCCGAAGAGUUCGUCCGCAGAUGCGAUGUAUGCCAGAAGUUUUCCAAUGCCAUCAACGUCCCGGCCACUCCUCAGUCCAGCAUAUCCAGCCCGUGGCCAUUCUCACAGUAGAGCAUAGACAUCCUGAGUCCUUUCCCUAAGACCACGGGGCAGAAAAAGUUUAUAGUAGUGGCUGUAGAGUACUUCCCAAAAUGGCCAGAGGCAGAGGCAAUUCCCACAAUUACUGCCCAAAAGAUGAUAGACUUUGUCUGGGGCAAUAUCAUCUGUAGGUUCGGAAUACCGAGGGUACUCAUCUCAGACAACGGCAGGCAAUUUGACUGCAGUGCCUUCAGAGAAUUCAUAGCAAACAUGGGCAUAUGGCAUAAAUUCUCCUCAGUGGCCCACCCCCAAACCAAUGGCCAAACAGAGGUCACUAACAGAGCUAUCCUCCAGGGAUUGAAGAAGCGGCUGGAUGGGGCCAAGACAAAUUGGGCAGAGGAACUCAACAGCAUCCUGUGGGCACUCCGAACUACCCCCAGGACGUCCACUAAAGAGACGCCUUCCGCACUUGCGUUUGGCACCGAAGCUGUGGUUCCAAUUAAGUUGCAGGUCCCUACCCAUCGAGUCCAAUUCAAUAGCAAGAGCAUCAACCUUGAUAAGUUAAGAAGUAACCUGGAUACUCUGGAGGAAGUCAGAGAAGAAGCUCGAGUCCGUAUAGCCGCUUAUCAACAAAGAGCGACUCGUUAUUACAAUCAAAGGGUCAGAGAAAGAAGCCUGAAAGUAGAGGAUCUGGCCCUGAGAAAUCUGGAAGCCACUGGAAAGAGAGCGGCAGUAGAAAAGCUGGCGCCAACCUGGGAGGGUCCUUUCAGAAUAAUAAAGGUGGUCAAACCAAGGAUGUAUCGAAUCGAGGACAUGCAGGGAAACCCUGAGCCUCAUGCUUGGAAUAUCCAGCAUUUGAAAAGGUACUUCCCUUAAGGUGUUACCAAAUGUAAGAGAAUCGAUUGUAUUUUGAAACAUGGCAAUAAAGUAAACGUUAUUACCAUCAAAUUUGUUAUUUGUCAUAACUUACAUUUGUUUCCAUUGAAAGAAACGAAAAAGAAAAAGAAAACAAACACAAAGGCCCAAGAUCUCNNNNNNNNNNNNNNNNNNNNNNNNNNNNNNNNNNNNNNNNNNNNNNNNNNNNNNNNNNNNNNNNNNNNNNNNNNNNNNNNNNNNNNNNNNNNNNNNNNNNNNNNNNNNNNNNNNNNNNNNNNNNNNNNNNNNNNNNNNNNNNNNNNNNNNNNNNNNNNNNNNNNNNNNNNNNNNNNNNNNNNNNNNNNNNNNNNNNNNNNNNNNNNNNNNNNNNNNNNNNNNNNNNNNNNNNNNNNNNNNNNNNNNNNNNNNNNNNNNNNNNNNNNNNNNNNNNNNNNNNNNNNNNNNNNNNNNNNNNNNNNNNNNNNNNNNNNNNNNNNNNNNNNNNNNNNNNNNNNNNNNNNNNNNNNNNNNNNNNNNNNNNNNNNNNNNNNNNNNNNNNNNNNNNNNNNNNNNNNNNNNNNNNNNNNNNNNNNNNNNNNNNNNNNNNNNNNNNNNNNNNNNNNNNNNNNNNNNNNNNNNNNNNNNNNNNNNNNNNNNNNNNNNNNNNNNNNNNNNNNNNNNNNNNNNNNNNNNNNNNNNNNNNNNNNNNNNNNNNNNNNNNNNNNNNNNNNNNNNNNNNNNNNNNNNNNNNNNNNNNNNNNNNNNNNNCCCAUUCAAGAUAAAAAGGGCCCAAACCCUGAGCAAGCUCAAAAAUAAAAAAGAAUAGGGCAGGUCUGGAAAGAGCUGAAACGCGAACCAAGAUGCACAAAUCUGAGCUCGGAAAGCCAAGCAAUAAGAGAGCCGAGCUCAGGAAGCUCAAGGGCAAACUGAAUGUUACAAAUUUCCUCUAGCCCAAGGGGCAAGUCAAAAGUAUGAACUAACGAACAACACCACAACCUCAGUUCCACUCAACACAAGACAUAAAACGAGCUCAAGAAAACAGAUUCAUCAUAAUAAGGUACUUUACCUUACUUACUUUGAUUAUACAAAAAUUAUAUGUCCGAGCUUGCAUUAUUGAUGAGUCAACAGGGUAAAAAAUAAAGAUGUAGUCCCAAAAUUACACAAAUUCACAAGUUAGAAGUUCGGUCAAUUGCUAGAAUUUCAGCCCUAAUUAACAAGGGCGAGAAAUAAAACAAGUAGUAUGGUUGAUUCCUUGAAAAAAUUAUUGAACACAUGGUUUAAGAGUUUUAUCCUUAACAUAUUGACAGAUUAAGCCAGGUAGGCCUUCAAUGGAUUAAGUCAAUUAGACUUUUAGCAGAUUGAGUAAUUUGAUAAGGACAGAAAAAUAAAUAACAGUGGAAAUAGCUCAAAUAUAAACACAAAUGAAAAUUGGAUUUCAUUAAAAGGAAAAUAAAAUUACAACUUAUUCAGUCAUCUACAACUCCUGGAAGAAAAAUUGUCCGUAAAGGACUUACAUGUCUAGGCGCAUCGCUAUUUACACUAUCUCUAUCUACACUACUGCCUACGAAAGGAACAAUUUCUCCUCCUUGGGGCCCUGCAUCUUCCCUCUGAAGCUUGGCAUCAGCCUCCGUGGACUGGCUGUUUCCUUCUUCACCUUCCUCCCCCAGCUUGGCAUCUUCUUUAUGAGACCCAGUUGCAGUGUGAGGAAAUCCUUUGGGCAAAGGUUUGUCGUCCUCCCCGUAAAGCACCUCCUCGCCAUCGAAGUCCUCCUCAGCAGCUCGGAGUUCAGCUAGCGGCGUGGAAGGGGCAUACCUGGCUUCCCUCAAGCCUCGAUUGAAACCGGAGACGAACAUGCGGAAGCCUUUUUGCCAUAUUGUAUUCUUCAUUUCGUCAGAGGCUUUGUAUUCCGCAAGUCGCUCCUCGCAGGCCUCAGCUAUCUUGGCCUUCAACUCCGAAGAGUCCUUAUAACCUUGGAGACAAGCUUCACAGGCCUGCUCGAUCUCUCUUUUGAGCUCUGCCGACUCCUUGUACUCCCUUAAGUGCUUCUCACACUCCAACUGGACUCUGUUCUCAGCGUGCUUGGCAUCCUCGAGCAAGGCUGAACACCUCUUCUUAAGGGCCUCGACUUCCUGGCAGAGGUGUUGGUUUUGAAGUCUAGAUGCCUCUACUGCCAGAGCCAGGUCUUUUUCAUUAUCAGCGCGCUUGCUCAACUCUUGCUCGAGGACCACAACCCGAGCUAGGGCUUCAUCCUUCUGAGCUAGCAUAGCAUCGAAAUUUGCCUUCAACGACUCCUGCUGGUGCCGGGCCUCAUCCCUCUCCUUCUGAGCUUCCUCUAAGGAGGACAGCUGCUCCAAGACCUCAUCACGGUGGGCCUCCGCAGCAGCUGCCCUCUUAUCAGCCCCUUCCAAAGUCUCCUUAGUAUGGGCCAGCUCCCCCCUAAGGGUCUUCAAAUGCUCCUGAGCUGCAGCAAGGUGACCCCGAGCAUCGCUGGUUGCGAUUAAAUUUUCUUCAAGACGCGCCUCUUCAAUCUGGCGGUCCAUUGUGCUCCGAGUUGAUUCGUCCCGGGAGUCUACCUCCAUAAAGAGGCCCAUCAGCUAACACAGAGAGAAAAAAUAUUAGAAUGACAGACAACAGAAACCAAACGAAAGAAUUCAAAAGUAAGAAGAACAACUUACCAUUAGAAGCAUCUCCCUAAUUGUGCCUCCGAGCUCCUCUCGAGUCCGAGACCGGAAUGCUACUUGCUCUCGUGUAGAACUCGCCAAAAGGCCAGUGAGAGCAAGCAGACGAGGAUCCGAAGCUUCUGUGACCCGCCAAACAUCUGCUCCUACAAGAUUUCUGCAACAACGCUCGCCGGAGAUUGAUGAGUGAUAUCCUCCGCGUUCAAAAUGUCGUUGUCGGGAGCAGACAGCAGAGGCACCACAGAAGUCUCCUUCUUCUUCUCGAGAGGAGGCAGAGCUGGAGCUGGUAUUCUAGAGGCCCGAGACCUCUUGGGGACAGGAGCCGGGGCAGGCGCUUCAGAAGGAGGAGGACACUUGCUCCCGACCCUCUCUGCAGCGCCCUCAUCGUCAACUGGUCUGGGCUCCACUCCCUCAGUAACAGGGGCAACCUCCAUCCCCCCUUCAGGAGCCCUCUCCUCAGUUGCGGAGGUCUUGAACCUCUCCUCAGGAACGUCCUCAGAAGGCAAGGCAGAAUCCGUCCUCACCAGCUCGAUGCCUUCAACCGGCCUGGCGGUGACCCUUGGAGCCUUUUUCGCUCCCUCAGUAGGAGCCCGUUGGGACCUGGGGGCUUGAUAAGACUGAGGAGCCAAGCUUGAUCUGCUGCGGCUUGAAGGGCCUGGAAGACCUGACACCUCGAGAGCUCAGCUUGGGAGCUUGGGAAGAAGCAGGAGCAGGAAGAAUGGACUGGCCUGCCGACCUGGAAGAGAUGACCUGGGCCACCUCCUGAGUGGCUUCUGACACAGAUCGCCCAGCUCGGAGGGCGUCUAACGCAGCAUUCAUACUCUCCCGAGAGAGGGUGAAGUUCUUGGGGUCCUUGAUGUUGUCCAUAUCUGCUCGAGAAGCUGCAAAAACAUCAAAUCAACACAAGUUAAACAUCUCUCAAGAAAGGAUAAAAGAGGAGAAAUAAAACAAUCAAACAAAGUAUAAUACCCGCGUCCUUGAUAUCCCGAAGAUUGGACGCAAACAUACACCUUUCGACAUCAUACUUCUUCGCAACAGAAGUCAGUCGAAGGUACCCGACCUGCUUAGUGAGACUCAGCUGAGGCAGGUCGUUACAGCCUAGAAAGACAUCCUCCCAGGAGAGCUCCACCUCCCAAGACAGCCCGGAUUCUUUCUUCAGCUCCACCACUGCAAACCCCUCUACCCAGCCUUUUAUCGAGUCCUUGCGACCCGUAAAGAUGGACAGCCCUCCGCGAGGGGCAAAAUAGUAAAAGCAUUGACUCGCUUUCACUAACCGAAAAAAGGUGAGAAACAGACGCGCUGUGGGUGUGAACCUCCAGCUCAGGCAAACUGACUCGAAGGAACACAUGAAAAGGAUGGAGUUAGGGGCCAGAAUCCGAGGGGUUAUCUCGAAGUACCGGAAUACCUCGAUGAAGAAGGGAGAGAAGGGAAAGGUUAAAUCGUAUUCCCUCUGUUUAGCGAAGAAGACCAGGCUGAGAUCCUUCUGUGGGUCGAUUAAACCAGGGGGAGGAGGAUUAGGAAGAACGAUCCUCUCAUUUCGGAGAGGGGCCCAGAUGAAAAAAAGGAGGGUAUUUAGGUAUUCCCUGGAAAAGAAGUUUUUUAGAGUAGCAGGGGUGAUGCUAGACUCUAGAUUAAUGACGUCGGGGAGAUUUGGGCUAUCCAUGGAAGAAUGAAGAGCGUACCUUGAAAAUAAUGAAGGCAGGAGAACGGAGCUAGCAAUGCGCACGAAGAACAGAGGAAAGCAAGAGUUUGGAGAAGACUGAGAGAAUUCGAAAUUUGAAACAAUAAUAAGACGAAAAGAUGUUUUGAGGAGAAUUGUCCUUGGGCGGCGCGGUCAUAAUGACUCUCGAUAUUUACCCCCUCAUCAUUCGUGCAAUAACUGAUGAAAAGGUAAAGGGGCAAUUGAUGACCGCUGGAUUUCACCAUCCUGUUACGAGGCUGAGCUCAUAACGACAGUCCCCAUUUUAAGGCCUCUAAGUCUUCUUAAUGGGCCGGCCCAGUCCGUUCGGUCCUAAGAUCAGACCUCCCCUGGGCUUCAGUCUUAAUCUCAUCCUCCAGUCCAGUUCGGAGGAGAAGAAGUAGCCAGCCCAUCCGCCUAGUGGGUCCAUCCGCAUGCGUGCCAGGAGAGAAUUAAAUGGUCGUUACGCAUGAAGCAGAUAUCUGAUAUUCUCUUACGUCCGUAUCCGUAUGGUAGAGAUAGUUGGCCCAAUGGCAGCGAGACCGUUACACGUCACUGACAGAUAAAGGAAAAAAAUAAAAGGGGGGAAACAUUCUCCUCUCGGACCAAGUUCACUCAACCCUUGUAAAAUCUUAUUUUUUGGAUAUCAGAUCAUCAAUUUUUAUUUUAAAAUUUUUUUUAUUAAAAAUAAAAAGUGGGGUCAAGUGACCCCACUCCAGAAGUAGAAACCGGCUAUGGUCAAGAGUCUUGCUCUUCUUCACCUACCGAUGUAAGGAGAAAAAACACAUGCAAUGGUAUAAUAUGGUAAUGAAAAAUGUGAACUGAAUCUUGAAAGAGAAUUUAGAAGAAUUGAAUAACAAGACAGAGCUGUUUGUUCUUUGUACAUGUUCAACUAAUUGAUUUCCCACGUAUUAGUCAAUUAGACUUAAUUUUAUCCCUUUGUCUAACCAACUUGAAACAAUUAUUACAACAUUGGCAACACUUGCAAGAAGACCUCAAAUUUGACACGUUUCUUUUAUUUAUUUAUUGUGUAAAUCUAAUUUUGUAUCUCGAGUCGUCUUCUAGUAGCUAGCUACCUUAUAUUUUUCAAAAAGAAUCUACAAAUAUUCAAUCAUGUGUACAUUGGAUGUGAACCCUUUUAUAAUUCAUUUUCUAUUCAGCUAGAUACUAAGUAAAUAAUAUUAUAAUAAAUAAUUUUAAAAAAAUAAAAUUACUUACUAAAUCCAUAUUAUUACUAGACGUCAUAUUUAUAUAAAAAUUGAAAUUUAAUUAAAAUUUAUUAAAUUAAAAAUUUUUUUAAUUAUUUUUAAUGAUUUAAUGUAUCAGCUCAGAUAACGUGAUACAUCAAAAUAUUUAAUAAAUUACUGUUGAAAAAGGAAAUAGUGACUGAGAAGAGGGGUAAAAAUAAUAAAAAAUAAUUUUUUAAAAUAUUCUAGAAGAGUAUAUCUAGAGUAAAAAAAUAUUUUCUUAAAUAAUAAUUAGAAAGCAUUAAAAUUAAAUUAAUUUUUUUUUAUGAAACAGAGAAAGCAAAUAUAAUUAAUUGGACCCAAGAGAUUGAUAUUUUGGUAAUUAAUUAAGGACAGCAGUAAUUGAGAGAAAAUAAUAUGAAAUUGUAUAUAAUAAUUAAUAAAAUUUAGGGUUUAUUAUCCUUCAAAAUCUGACGAUUUGAAAAAUAAUUUACAACAAUUUUCUUAAUUAAAUUGAAAAUGGAAGUAAAAAAAUUGUCCUUUUCAGAAUUGGUAAUUGUGGUGGAUAAGCUUAGGAGUUAAGAUAAUUCAUGACUCUGUGUGAUAUUGGCAAAAAAUGACCAUCUCAUGAUGCACAUGUAAUUCACCCUUCAUUUCAUAUUUACUCGAUAUGCCAUAGGAAUUAAAUUAUUUAUAAUAUAAAAAUAUACACAUAACUAAUAAUUUAACAUAUUAUAACCAAUUUAAUUCUUGUUUGCAAUAGCAUUGUAUUUGUAUAUUUUUGUAAUUAUAAAUAAAUUAUAUAUAUAUAGUUAAUUUGAAGAUGAAAAUUCUAUAAUUAAUAAAUAUUAAAUAAAAAAUUUAAAUUUUUAUCACUUUUUAUAUUUAUAUUCUAACAUUAAAAUAUUAGAUAAUAAAAUCAAUUUUUCAUAUUUACUUCUAUUUUAGCUAUUUGCCAUUAAUCAAUUUUAGUAAAAAAAUUUUAAUUCACAUGUCAUGACAUUUAUAAUUUUUUUUAAAGACAUAUUGAAUAAAAGAAAUUAAAACUUUUAAGUUAAUUCGUAUUUAUAUCUAAAAUUUUAAAUUUUAAAUAAUAAAACUAAAAUUUUUUUAUUUUAUCUCAAUUAUAAAUAAAAAAAAUAUUUGAAUAUGAAAAUUAUUAAAAAAUUAUAAUAUAGUAUUUAAAAUUUUAUUAGACUAUAAAAUAGUUUUUAAAAUAUAUAUUUUUAUUUCAACAAUAUCUUUUUUUUAUUAAUCUCAUUAUUUAUUUUUCAUUCUCUUUUUUAUAUAUAUUGUAGUUUAAUAAAAAUUUAAAAUAUUUUAUUUUAUUAAAUAUUAUUGAUAUAAAAUAUAAUUUUUUUGUCAAAUUAACUAAUAAUUUAAUAUACAUUACAAAUAUAAUUAUUUUAUAAAUAAAUAAAACAAAAAUAUUAAAUAUCUAAAAUAACCUAUAAAAAAUAUAGUUAAUAUAUCUAAAUUUUUAUAAAAAUUAUAAAAAGAUAACUUCACAUAGUAAAAUAUAUAUAUAUUUAAUAUUAUUAAUGUAAAAUAUAAUUUUUUAUAUACUAAAAAUAUAUAUAUAUAAUUUAUAAUAAUAAAUAUAAAUUUUCAAUGAAAUAUUUUAAUAUAUAAUAUUUAUAUGUGAUAUUUUAAUAUAAAAUUUAAAUUAAUAUAAAAUUUUUGAGAUUAUAUUAUAAUUUAUUAUUAAUUGAAAUAAAUGUAAAGGAAUUAAUUAAAUUAUAUAAAAUUUUUAAAUUGAAAUAUAAUUAUAACAAAUAUUAAACAUUUAAAUUUAUUUUUUCCAAUAAACGAAAAAUGUAAUAUGCUUUGACCACGCUUGUAAACAGGACGCUGAAGUUUAAGAAGCGAAGGUUUGUGGUUGACCCCAAGUUGAGUCCAUGGCCGCCAGUGGAUGAGGAUGAUGCAAUCCAUGAUCUUAUCUCCACCAUCAAACGCUAGUGAUUCAUCAUACACAUGGGCCACCACAUGAUUGUAUCAUCUUAUUACUAUUUAUCAUGUUGAUUUAUCCGCUUGCAUGUCUAAGGAAUUUUUGGUUUUACAAUGCAGCAGCUUAAGCGCAAACCUCAUAUGAUAUGGCCAUUGUAGCCCAUAAAGAUAAUUUAAUAAUAAAAAUAUUUCUUUUAAUAUUUAGCAUUUCAAAUAAAAAUUUAAUGAAUACUUACUUUAUUUUAACUUACAACUUCAUUUAAAAAAAAAAAAAAAAAAAUUCUAAAUCGCUCUUACCAAUACGAUUACAUAGAAGAAACCUUCCUCUUGCGUAAGGGAGUUGAACCCUCUUUAUUCGAUCACUGAUUAAGAGGAAUAUUAUUAAGCUUUUCAACACGUUGAUGCAAAUUUAAAUAAAUUAAAAUUUUAAUAUUUAUAUAAAUUAAAUUAGUCUAUUUGAUUGAUUAAAUUUUUUAGUAAAUUUUUUUAUUUUUUAUAUUUUAUUUUUAAUAUUUUAAGAUUUAAUUAAAAUAUUCUAACUAUAGUCUAAUUCUUUUUAUAUUAUAAAAAAUAAUAUAUUAUUAUCACUUUUUAAUUAGUAAAAUUAAACUGAAUUAAAAUAAUUAAAAAUUUUAAAAUUAAAAUUCAAAUCGAAUUGAAAUAAUAAAAAAUUAAAUUAAAAUUUUAAAAUAAUUCAAUUCAAUCAAACUUUUUAAUUUGAAUUAAAUAUGACUCACCUAAUUUUACGAAAGAAAUAUAAAAUUUUAGUUAAAUAUAAUAAUAGAAAUUCAUCGAGUUUAUUCUUUUAAGUUUCGAGCUUGAAUUUUUAAUUAGAGUUAAUUGUAAAUAAAAAAAUAUUAUUAAAUAAAAAAUAUUUCAGUGAAGUGACAUGAACCAUACAAAAAUCAAGUGAUGGUAUGAUAUAUUGAAUUUUUUUUUUUCUCUUUUAUAUUUGGAAGAAUUGUACUCAUUCUUGGUGAAAGAGAGGAUAUAGCAAGAUAGCUUAGAUAAAAAAAAAAUUUAAAAGUGAAUUUAUAUAUAUCUUUUAUAUUCGUUUUAUAAAUUGCAUAAGCCAAAAUAAUUGAAAUUAUUUGAAAUAAAUGAAUUAAAAUUUUUUUAAAUAAUGCAAUAAAUUUAAAUUUCAAUAGCAUUCUUUAUAUGCUGUUAAUAAUUUUAAAUAUAUAUAUAACUAAUGAAAAUUAUCGUUAAACAUUUCAUGAUGUGUAUAAAUCCUAUAAUUUAAUUAAAUUUUGAUUAAAAAUUUAUUAUAUUUUAUAUAUUUACCAUCAAAGCGUAUUAUAUUUCUUGAUGUUAUUUAUUAUGUAAAUCAUUUAGUUGUGUUUAAUUAUCUACCAUUUAAUUAAUAUGUAUGUAUAAUUUUUUUAUUUACGAUAAUAAAUAUUAUUAAAAAUAUAAAUAAUUUUAUAAUCGAUUUUAAUGGAUUUACAAUAAAUUUAUAAAAUAAUAUUAAUAUUUUUAAUGAAUUUAUGAUUAUUUUUGUUAAAAUGAUCUUUCUAUUUUCAAUAGUAAUUUUUCGUCUUUAAUUAUUUCUGACAGAUUAGCGAUAGAUUGAUUAUCGGAUGAAUUUAGAUUUUUUGAUGAAUUUAAUGAUGAAUAAAAUUUAUCACUAAUAUUUUUUGAUGGAAUAAUCAGUCAAAAUUCUGUUGCAAAUAUUUUUGAUAUAUUUUAAAUUGUUAAAAAUCUGUUACAUAUUAGCGAUAAAAUUUUAAGUGACGAAUUUUAAUUUAUAGAAAAUCAUCGCCGAAAGUGUUAGGUGCGGAUUUUAGACUAUCAGCGAUCAAAUUUUCCGUCUAACGGAUAGUCCGUUUUUUAUAAUGAUACAUAUUUAAAAGUUUUAGUUAAAUUAAUUUUAAAUAAUUUUUUUUUUCUUUAUGUAUUUUUCAAAUUCAAUAUAAAUAACUUAUUCUGCACAAUCUCGGACACACAUAUACAAUCAGAACUAUUCUUUUUUUUUUUUUUUUUUGUGGGAGCUUUAAUUUAUUCUCAUCUUAAAAACAGACCAAAAGAAUAUGGAAUUUUAGUUAAAUAUAAUAACGGAAAUUAGAUAAAAUCAUGACUAAAAAUUAUCAGCAUAUAUUUAUUGUCUAUAAAAUUUAUAAUUUAUAACUUUUAAUAAAAAAUUUAUAUUAAUUUAUAACCACUAUAUAUUAUUUAUUAAUUUAUAAAUUAUUUUAAUAUUAAAAUGUAUUAUAUUUCUUGAUCUUAUUUAUUGUGCAACUAUUUUAUAUAAAAUAAUGUUAAAAAAUAUUCAUUGGAGCCUUCUAAUUGGAGGCAUAAUAUAAUAUUCAUUAUAUUUAUCAUUAAAACUAAUAUUAAGUUUGUUUCAAUUUUAAUUCUUAAAAUUUUGUAAAAUUUAAUUAAAUUUUAUAUUUUAUGUUUCUAGUUUGAAGAGAUAUUAAAAUUAGUAUUAAGAAUUCAAUUUUAUGGAAUUGGUUAUAAUUAAAAAAUUAAUUCUUUCAAAUUUUGAUAAAAUUUGAAAUAUUAUAUAAUAAUAUUUUAUAAACUAACAUGUUCAUAAUAAAAAUUUUUCUUUCUAUUAUCAUUUAUUUUAUUAGUUGAUUAAAUAAAUAGUUAAAAAUUAAUAAAUAAUUAAAAAAUAUUGAUGAUUACAAUAAAUGAUUAAAAUUUAUUUUAAUAAAUAAUUAUAUUUUUAAUUUUACUAUUAUUUUAUAAACAUUAAAUAAAAAUAAUAGUAUUACAUAAUCAGUCGUCUACCUUGAACCUUCAAAUUCUCUGAAUAUAUUUUGAUAUCAACUCUCAUAUUAAUUUAUUUUUAUUUUAUCAAUAUAUUAUUAAUAAAUUUAUAUUUUUAUUUAUUAUUACUAUUAUAAUAAAUUUAUUAUGAAUAAUUUUUUUUAUAAUAAAAAAUUAUAUAUAUAUACACUUUAUUCUUAGGGUAAUUUAGAGAGUAAAUAAAUUUCAAUUCUAAAAUUAAAUCAAACAAAAAUUAUGUAAAAUUAAAUUGAAUUCUACAUUUUUAAGUUAUAUUAAAUUAAAUAAUGAAAUUUAUUUCAAAUAAAUUUUAUUCAUAAUUUAAUUGAAUUAUAUAUAAUUUUAGUCAUAAAAUUAAACAGGAGAAUAUAUAUCAAUUACUUGUAUAAGGCACACAUUAGGUUCAUAUAAUAAGGGGAAAUCACAGCAGGAAGAUUAUAAUCCUCCCAUGGUUUUACACACACAGAAACCAAAAAAACCCAAAAGAAAAAAAAAAAAAAAAGGUGGAAAUUACAUUACAUGUUAAUUAUUGAGGAUGGCAAGAACACCAUUUAUUUAUUCCUCCCAUUUCCAGUGAUUAGAAACUUCAAACUUUUUCUUUUUGACAAAGAAAAAAUUUACCUAACAUUAAACCCAAGGUUGUAAGCAUAUUUGACGAGAUCAUCAAUCUCUGACAUGUCGAUAACUCCAUCUCCAUUAGCAUCAGAAAAUUUGAUCCCUUGACGGGCCCUAUAAGCAGGGAACAUAGCUCCAAGAUAAUUGAAAGCUUGUCUGAUCUCUUCUCUGCUAAGAACAUUGUCUCCAUUUAAAUCGAACUUCAUGAAAACUUGCCUCACUUGUUCUUCAGUGAAGGGAACAGGAGCAUCUUUGUAUUUGUUCACACGGAAGGGAUUCACCGCCAUAUGAUAUUGACGUGGUGCCGGUGGCGGUGGUGGUGGUGGAUUGUUUGCAAACCAAACACCUUGUGGAGGAGGAGGAGGAGGUGGAGGUGGUCCCCAGAAAGACUGAGACCUGUCAUAAUAGAUUGGCGGCUUUUCUUCAUACAUUGGCUGAUUGUAUGGAGAAGGAUAAGGAACAACGUUAUAGUCUUGGGUAUAGCAGCGAUCGUAGUACAUGAUUUUCAAGUGGCGAGGAUAAUAACUGGAGCAGGUUUUGAGUUUGAAGUUUUGUUUGAACUUGGGAUGGAUUUGAAUCCAUGAAAGCAAUCUUAUUUAUAAGCUGCUUCAGGGUGUUUUUUUUUUUUUUUUUUUCCACUUGAAUGAAUAAUGUUCUAACUUAUCUUACCAGGAAUAAUUAAAUCUUUCCUUCAAGUGGGAAUCUCUUUUUUAUGUUAUUAAAUAUGCUGCGGUUAAAUUUAAAUUAGAUUUCAUAUCAGUAUGAAUAUAAAAAUUGUACACAAUGUUAUAAAAUACUAUUUAAAUAUAAAAUUGAAUCAUAGACUCUAAAAUGAAAAUUCUUAUAAAAUUAUAAGAUAUUUUUUAUUUUUUUUUUAAUUAUAAAACUUAAGAUAAAUAAAUAAUGAACUGAUAUGCAAAGGACAGUUUAACAUGACAAUACGAAGUGGAGAAUAUGUUACAGGACUCACAUGAUAGAUAUCAUUAUCAAAUUGAUAAUGAAGAAUAAAGAUUUAUGCCUUCAAAUUCAUUCCAUCUUGGACCUCCUUAUUUAAUCAUUUUUAUGCUAUAAAUUAUUACAAUUCAUUUUAGUUAGCUGAGUAAUUAUGUUGCAAUUAACACUUAUAUAUAUUUCAAUUUUUUAAAAAUAAAUAAUUUAUUUUUUAUAUUUUAAUUUUAUUAAAUUAAUAAAAAAUUAUUUUAACAAAAGUACUUUCAGUUUAACAGAAUCAAAAUAUAUGAAUUAAUAUGUUGAAUUUUAAAAGUAAAAUGAUAUGUAUAUUAACAUCAGAGAUAUGUAAAAGUGAUUUUUUUUUUAUUUAUAAGUAUAAAUUAUAAGAUUUAAGUAUGAUAUUAAAUUUGAAUUAUAGCAUUAUUGAAAAGUAAUGAAUAUAGAUUUGCUCAUCUUUCUUAAUCACAUGAAAUGAGAGUUUGGCAUAUAAUAAAAUAAAGUAGCAAAAUAUUCUUAGGUCAGUUGGCCAACAUCAUCUUCAAAGCAUUUUUGACGUCACAGAUGUGCCCACGCCUUUGACUAGUCGGUUUUACAUAUUAUUCUGAAAACUAUAUUUACCUUUGUUUUUUUAAGCAAAGCAAAAUCUUACCAUCAUUCAUCCUUUAAAACCAAGUGAUCCGAUUAGAAGGUAGCAUUUAAUCGGUUCAAUUUAAAAUCAAACUGAAUUAAAUAUAUUAAAAAUUAAAAUUUUAAUAUUUAUAUAAAUUAAAUCGAAUCGAAUUGAUUUUAAUUAGAAAUUAAAUUGGACUGAAUCACUUUGAUUCAGCUCAAUUCAAUUUAAUUUGAUCAGUAUGAAUUUUUAAUAUAUUUUUUUAAUUUUUAUACUUUAUUUUUAAUAAUUAAAAUUUUAAUUAAAAUAUUUUAACUUUAAUAUAAUUUGAUCUUUUUCAAUAAUAUACUAUUAAUAUUAAUUCGUUCGGUUCGAUUUUUUAAAUUCUUUUCUGAUUAAAAUUAAAUCGAAUAAAAAUAAUUGAAAAUUUUAAAAUUAAAAGCUAAAUUAAACUAAAAUAAAUAAAAAAAAUUAAAUCGAAUUUUCAAAUUAAUUUAAUUCGAUUAAUUUUUUUAAUUUAAAUCGAAUACUACUCCCACCAAUUGUAGAACUGAUUAGACUAAUAAUUGGAACAGUGAAUCAGUAAAAGAAAAAAUAAGAAGAAGAAUACUAUAAAUUUAUUUUAAAAUUAUAUAACCAAGGUUAAAUUGUCUAGUUUAAUUGGCUAAAAAAUAGAUGACUUGAUUUCAAAAUUUUAGAUUUCGAGUCUUAUUCCUUUUCGUAGUGUAUUUAAAUAUUAAAAAAAACAUACAUAAUAUUAUUUAAUUUCAUUAAGUUUUCUUUUUUUUUUUAUUAAAUGGUUAUUUAAUUAGUUUAUAUUUUGAUUUUAUUAGUUACCUAAUUAUAUAUAUAUAUGUCAGUUAUGCUAUAAUAAAUAGUAAUUAUUAUUAGGCAAAUUACAAUAUUUGAAAAUCUAUUUAUUAUACAUGCCUAUACUUUUAUAUGUUAUAUACAUAUAAUUUUUGUUUUUAUUUUUUUAUAGAAUAAUUGUGAUUCUCAAAUUAUUAAUAUUAUUUAAAAAUGAUAUUUUUAUAUAUUAUAAAUCUUUAAUAUAUCAAGAGCAUUUUUUUUAUAUAUAUUUGAAAAUAUGAAGAUAUCACAUAAUUUAAUCAAACUUUAAAAUUUUAUAUCUUUAAUCAAUAAAAUUGUGUAAAAUAUAAUUAGUGAUCAUAUUGUCCGCUUGAUAGGUUGGUAUCUUAUUCUUUGCAGCAAUUUGGGCCGUUGAUAUUGAGAUUGUGGUGAAUCCAUUCCUAAAUACAUAAAUUGAUAUUUGAUAGGCAACUGAUUACAAUUCAAAUCAAAGUUUAAAAUUAGAGCUGGUAUAGCCGAUGGAAAUUAUUCUGAUAGGAAGAUUUUUAAUCAAUUAUUCUGGUAGGAAAAAUUAAAAUAAUAAAAUAAAUUUGAUUUGCAAUUAUUCUGAUCAAAUCCAUAAAAAAAAAAAAAAAUUCUUAUACGGAUCAAGAGAAGUGAAUUCAUAUAUUAUUGGUUUUGUCAAAUAUAAAAAUUUAAAAUAAAAUUUAUUUAUUUUUUUAAUUUUUUGAAAAUUUAACCUUCAAGCAAUUUCCAAUUAUUUAUAUGAUUUGUGAUGUAAGAAUGGCACACACCAUUAAUACUUAAAACAUAAAAUAUAUAAUUUUAUGUAUCCAUGAGGGAAAACGUAGCAGGAAGAUUAUAAUCCUCCUAUGGUGUUACAACACAAACAGAAAAAAAAAAAAAAAAAAGGUUAAUUAUUUAGAUCGCAAUUAAGAGCACCAUUUAUUUAGUUGGAUUCCCCUCAUUAGAAUCAUCGAACUCUUUACCUAACAACAUAUCCAAGGUUGUAAGCAUAUUUGACGAGAUCUUCCAUCUCUGACAUGUCCACAACUCCAUCUCCAUUAGCAUCAGCAAGUUUGAUCCCUUGACGGGCCUUUUGAGCAGGGAACAUGGCACCGAGAUAAUUGAAAGCUUGUCUAAUCUCUUCCCUGCUAAGAACAUUGUCUCCGUUCAGGUCGAACUUCAUGAAAAUUUGCCUCACUUGGUCUUCAGUCAGGGGAACAGGAGCACUUUUGUAGUUGUUGGUACGGAAGGGAUUGGAGGGAACAUAAUAUGAACGUGGUGGUGGAGGAGUUGGAUUGCUUGGAAACCAAACAUCUUGGGGAACAGCAGGAGAUGAUCCCCAGAAACCAACAGCUGCAGGCUUGUCAUCACACAUUGAGGGCUUCUCCUCAUUCGUUGGCUGAUGGUUUGGGUAAUGAUAAGGAGUGAUGUUGUAUUCUCGGGAGUAUUGCAUAGAGUAAGCCAUGAUUUUCAAGUGGUUGAGUUCGUAGUUUUAUUUAACUUGCGAUGGAUUUGAACCCAUGGAAGCAACGCUUAUUUAUAAGGAGUUCGUAGUUUUGUUUUUUUUUCCCCACUUGCAUGAAUAAUAUUCUAAGUUAUCUUUGCGAAAAGUGGAACUACUUUUUGGCAAAUUCUAUAUGCCUUUUCUUUUUUUUUUUUUUUUUUAUUAAAGCAAACUCACAUAGUAUAGAUUCUCCACGUGUCCUACAACAUAAAAAUUCUCCACCACCAAAAUGAAAAUGCAAAUAUUCCUAAAUUUAGGAGACAAUUUAUCUCUCAAUACAAAGUAAGCUAUAUAUUUUUCUUAAACGAGUGAUAUGUGAUAUUUUUUAAUAAGAGUAUUAUUUAUUAUUUUUAUUGAGAAUUAAUAAAAAAUUUUCACUUAAAUUUAAAAAAAUUUACUAUAUAUUUUUUGUGACAUUAAAAAAACUCAUUAACUUAUUAUAUUGAUUCUGAAUAAUAUAUUAUGAUUUUUUAGAGUUUAAAAAAUUUAUUAAUUAAUUAUUUUAUUAGUUUUAAUUAUUUAAAAAAAAUAUGAUCCGUAGGUCUCAUUUUUAUAAAAAUAUUUAUUAACUAUUUAAUAUUAAAAAUAUUUAAAUUUUUUUAUAAUAUAAAUUAAUUAAUAAAAUUUUUAAAAUUUUAUAGAUAUUUUAAUUAAUUUUUAAAAAUUAUUAAUAAAUUGAAAUUACAAAUAUAAAUUUAGCAUAUUUAUAUUUCAAAGUAUUAUUUUAUAAAUUUGGUUAUAAUCGAUAUUUAAAAAAUUCCAAUACAUAGAAUUAGAAAUUUUUAAGUUUUUAUAAUAAUAACCAAUGAAAAUAUAUACACUUAUAAAUUAAAAAAAAAAACAAUUUCUAAACAAUCUCAUGAAAAAAAUUCAAUAAUUUAAGAAAUAAAUUUUUUAAAUGAGAAAAAUAUUUAAAUAAUGAUUACAAAAAUCAUUAUUAAUUAAUUCUAAAAUUAUUUAUUAAAUUAGUAAAUUAAAUAUUAAAACGAUUCAACUUUCUAAUUUUACUAGACUAGAAAGUAUUAUCAUCUGAUCAAAUUAAUUUUUUUUAAAAAAAUUUUAAUAAAUAUUAAUUUAAUUUAUAAAUUUUUUUAAUUUUUUUUUUUAAAAUUUGAAUCCGAUCUAACUUAUCUAAAAAUUAGCUUAAAAUAAAAGUGUCUAAAACACUUCUAAAAGACACAUCACCUAUAUUCUAAAUCGAUGUGGAAUCCCCUCACGUCCAAAACUACACUGAAACAUGACAUAUUUAUGAGAGAUUUAAUUUCGGUGGAAAACUCUAAUACCAUGUUCAAUUUGGGUCAAACCUAAUUUAUCCCAAAAAUUAGUUUAAGGAGGGAGAAGUGUUUAAAACUCUUAUAAAGGCUAUAUUGAUUUUAUUCUAAAUUGAUAUGAAAUUUAAAAUUUUUUAUUAGCUAAAAAACUUAUAAAUUUUAUUAACAUGAAAAGAACCAUCAAAAGAGGCUCUCAGAAUCAGCAAGUGAACUCCAUACAUCCAUCUUAAACAAACUAGCAACGUCUAAUGAUGAAAAAUACCUUAAAAGAAACACAAAAGGAAACAAAAACAAAAGCAAGGCAACAAAGUCGUACAAUCUAAGACUUCCAGAUUUAGCAGGAUUAUCAGUAAAGCAAUUUGUUUCCCCUUUUGAGGAUGGAUGAAAGUCACCGUUGCAACAGAAUGGUCCAAGAAAUUGAGCUUAAUUUCAGAGAGGAAAAUAAGACAACCAUCUGAUUUGGAGAAACUUUGUUGAAAAGUUUUAAUUAAUUUUAUUUAAAAGAAUUACCAUCAGUUAACUAGAUUUUAUUAAAAUUUACUAGUUUUUCCUUUUUUUUUUUUUAAUUAAUCAAUUAAAAUAUUUCACAUUUUAUAAACUCAAAUAAUUUAAUCAUUCUGCCUAAAGAAUUGCUAAUCAAUUUAUUUUAAUAUUAAUUAAAUGGACUAAAUUGUAUAAAUAUUUAUCAAUUAUGGUGACUAAAUAACAUAGAACUGAACAAUAUAAAUAUUUGAUAACUCAAAGAUCCACGAGAAACUAAAUUAAGGAAAGUAAAUAUUAUAGAUGAAUUUAGUAAAUGAGGGUAAUAAUAAUUUUGAGUUGAAAAUAUUUCGAAAGUUUGCAGAAAAUCUAUGAACACUCCUAAUAAAAUUUAUUUGGUCGUAAUUUAGUAAAAGUACUAUGAGAACAUACACGUGUUUUAAUCUUAGGUGUUUUAUAUAUUAUUAAUAUCCAAGACAGCCGGUAAUUCUUUUUAAUAAAAAAAUUAAAAAAAUAAAUUUUACAAAUAUAAAAUAUUUUAAUAAAUAAUUUUUAAAUAUAAAUAAAUUAAUAAAUUUCUAAAAAUUUAAAAAUUUAUAAUAAUUUUUCAUUUUAUUUCAUUCAAUUUUGGAAUCUAACUUACCUACAUUACUGCACUAAUUAAAUUACUUUUUUUUUUUUUUGAAAUGGGGAUGGGGAUUCGAACAUGAGAUUUAUCAGGUUUAACCGAAUGCACUUAACAUCAGAUUAAGUCUGGGAGUGCACUAAUUAAAUUACUUCUAAAUAAAUAUUUUUCCUUUUAUAUAUUUUCAAUUUUCAAUAUAUAACUCACUACAGGCAUCUAUGAGCCUUUUUUUCCUGUUUCAUGGAGGGAGCUUUUAUUCUCAUCUUAAAUAUGGAUUUUUUUUUUUUGAAAAGUUAAAUAUAAUAAUGAAAAUUAGAUAAAAUCAUGGCAAUAUUCAUGUAUGAAGUUGCAUACGAAAAUCAAAUACGUAUAUGAGUAUUCUUCUGACCACUUAGAAAAUUUGAGUUUAAAUUCCUCAUCAUAGUUAAUUAUAAAAAAUUUGGAAGUUCAUUUCAUUCUUUUGUUCGUUUUGAGAAUUUCAUAAACCAAAAAAUUGAAAUUAUUUUAAUUAAAUUAAUAAAAAAUAAUUUACAAACAAUCCAAUAAAUUUAGGAUUUUUAACAGCAUACCUCAUAUUAGGUUUAAAAUGCUUAAUCAUGAUAAAUAAAUUCCUUAUAAAAUACUAACGAGUAUUUUAUAAGGAAUCUGUAAAUGCUUAUGAGAUGGAAUCUGUAAAUCCUUGAGUUUUACUAGCUCGGAGGCUCUUUUAUUUCUGAGUAUUUUCAACCAAAUCUUGUCUGUAUAAGAUUGAAGAAGCGGCAAAUCUUCAACAUCUGCUAAACAGAUUCCUGAUACUGAAGCUCAAGUCCUGGAAUGCUAAUGUCUUUGGUUUGGCUAGCCCAAAACUCUUUGAGAUUAAUUUUCUGUAGAUCUAUUCGAAAGUUUUACGAAAGUUCGUGAUCUUACAACCUCUAAACAAGCUAUUUUACAACGUUGUAAAGCUGAUAAAGAAAUAUGGCAAAUGAUAAUGUGUGUCCUUGGAGGCAUCCUAAGAGAUCAUUUGGAACAUUUUCUCUGCAUUUUCUCUUGCCCAAUAGGUAUUGAUGCCUAUAAUGCUACAGAAUUCAAAGAAAUAGCAAAGGCCUUGGAACUGCUAUGCUCAACCUCUUUUCACCCCCAUAUCGGUUCUCAUUUCUUAGUAGAAUCCUAUUCUAUAGCUGCAAUUUCUUUGGCACAAAAUCUAGAUAGCUCACCAUGGCAUCUUUCUGGCAAACUCCAAUGCUUCUUCAUUAUCUUUGUUGCCUAAGGUUAAGUUUUGUCAUACUUUGCGGAAUGGAAAAUCCAUAGCUGGCUCUCUUGAUAAGCAAGGUGUAAAUAGAUAUGAAGACUUCGUGGCUUUCCACUAGUUCUUGGUAACUUAUCGCUACUGUAUUCUAUGCCUUAUAGUUGCCUUUUUAAUGGGUUGGUGCUGGCUAUAGCUUCUUUUUUUUUUGGGUUUGGAUUUGUUUGUUUUUCUUUUGCUCCUGUUGUCAUGAUACACAUACACCAAAUGCAAAAAAAUUUGAGUUAUUGAUAUGGUUUAGGAUAUUGUAAGAAUCACAGACAGAGUUAAAACUUAAAAUACCACAAACAUUGUAUAGGUAUAUAAACCCAUGAGGGGAAAACAUAGCAGGAAGCUUAUAAGCAUACAUGUUAAUUAUUGAGGUGGCAAGAGCACCAUUUAUUUAGUUGGAUUCCCCUCAUUAGAAACAUCCAACUCUUUACCUAACAACAUACCCAAGAUUAUAAGCAUACUUGACGAGAUCUUCCAUCUCGGACAUGUCCACAACACCAUCUCCAUUAGCAUCAGCAAAUUUGAUCCCUUGACGGGCCUUUUGAGCAGGGAACAUAGCACCAAGAUAAUUGAAAGCUUGUCUGAUCUCUUCCCUGCUAAGAACAUUGUCUCCAUUCAGGUCGAACUUCAUGAAAAUUUGCCUCACUUGGUCUUCAGUCAGGGGAACAGGAGCACUUUUGUAAUUGUUGGUACGGAGGGGAUUGGAGGGAAUAUGAUAUGAACGUGGUGGUGGAGGAGUUGGAUUGCUUGGAAACCAAACAUCUUGGGGAACAGCAGGAGAUGAUCCAAAGAAACCACCAGCUGCAGGCUUGUCAUUACACAUUGAGGGCUUCUCCUCAUUCGUUGGCUGAUGGUUUGGGUAAUGAAAAGGAGUGAUGUUGUAUUCUUGGGAGUAUUGGAUAGAGUAAGACAUGAUUUUCAAGUAGUGAGGGGAUUAAAGCAGGUAUUGAGUUUGUAGUUCUAUUGAACUUGCUAUUGAUUUGAAUCCAUGGAAGCAAGCUUAUUUAUAAGCUACUCCAGGUUUUUUUUUUCUUUUUUUUUUUUUUUCUUUUUUCCCACUUGCAUGAAUCAUAUUCUAAGUUAUCUUUCUGAAAAGUGGAUUCUAUAUAUCACAGAUAAGGAACUACUUUAUCUGACAAAUUCUAUAUGCCUUUUUCUUCUCCAUAAAGUAUUUUGAAAUGCAUGCAUGCCGUUUCUUUUUUUUUUUUUUUUCUUUUCCUGAUUAGAUUAUGGCAUUAAAUUGAUAAUCGCGGUGAUGAUUUAAUGUUAUUUUGUAAUUUAAAGAUUCAUAUGUAAAAUAAUUUAUCUUAUUCUUUGCAGCAAUUUGGGCAGUUUAUAUUGAGAUUGUGGCGAAUCCAUCCCUUUCAUGUACAAGAGGGUUCAAAGCUGUGAGUUUAUGUAGUUCUCAAUAUUCUUUUCCUGCUUACAAAUAAAAAUAAAAAUUAUUAUCUAAUCUGUAUGAUAUUGAAAAAAUAAUUUAUAAGCCUCUUAACUUUUAAAAAUAUAUUAAAAUUUUUAUAUAAUUUUUAAAAUAUCUAUUGAAUUUUUUUAGAAAGGCGUAAAAUUAAUAUGUAAAGUACCUAAACCUUUUUAUGUUAAAAAGUAAUUUUAGAAGAGUAAUUUAAAAAAAAAAAUUGUUCUCUAAUCUUUUGUGCUAAAAGUAAUCAUUUUCAAGUUAGCAGCAUGAGCCUUUUAAUAGAUUAUCAAAAUUAUUGGAAGGUUUUAAUUUACUUUUAAAAAUUAAUAGCUCAAUUAGUUAAUUUUUUUUAUAUUUAAAAAUUAAAUAAUAAUUUUAUAAUAGAAAUUUAAUAUUAUUUUCUGAAUAUAUUUUAUUAAGCAAGCAAGAAAUCUGAAGAGAAAAAAAUAAGAAACAAGAUAAUUAGAAAAUAAAAUCCUCUAAGACUUGAUACAUAUUGGGGCCUACAAUGUAGGAAUUUUUUUUUCUAAUUAAAGCAAACUUACAUAUUUAUAUUCUCCAUGUGUCCUAGAACGAAAAAAAUUCUCCACUCACACACCACCAAAAUGAAAACGCAAAUUCCUUAAAUUAAUCUGUUUUUUAAAUUUUUGUUAAGGUCCAAAAGACUGAAGAGGUAUAUGAUGCAAAGUCAAAAGACUAAGAGAAAUACAAAUGAAAACACUCGAUAAAGCUCGAUUAAAACAACUCAAAAAAAUAAAAUCAAACAAACAAACCAAAUUAAAAAAAAAAAAACAAUUAAAUACAGAACCAAAUAAUCAGCCACUGAUCCACCGCACAGCCUACUCGGCUUGGAAUUCAGCAAUAAGAGACAUCAUCGGCCAUAUUAGCGGCAAUACAAACAACCUGAAAAAACUAAAAAGACUCAACACACCAACAAAAAAGCAACAUGCAAACAAUAUCAAGACAGAAAAAGUCCAUGACAAAGUAUUUUUAAAACUUCUUUAAGAUAGAAAACACUAGCAUAUCCGAGGAGGAGAUGACGAUAGAGUUGACGAUUCUAUCUUCACCGGCGAGCGUGGUGGUCACCGGACGUAACUAUACAGUCUCAACAUACCGAAGUCACAUCGGUAAGAAGUCUCUUGAGAAAAGAGAAAUAAACCAAUUAAAAGUAGGUCUAAAGAAGCCUUUACAUGGAUACCACGAGACUUGUAAAUGAGAAAGCAAAAAACUAAAUAAAAAUCGCCAAUGUGUUCGACGAAAAUGAGGUCGUCAAACAGAAGCCAAAACUGAUGGUUUUUCUGCCUCGAAGAGUAAAGAAACCACAAUCAAAGCUACCAACAACGACCCAAUUUUAGAAACAGACAAUACCUUAUAACUAAAAGGAAGAACACUAUUGUGCACACCAAUCGAUUUCUGUCCCCCAUAUUUUUGCCCUUUUCUUCUUUUCUCAAUCUUCUCGUCUUAUUAGAGUGCACAUUUCAGUCGGUUCGGUUUAAAAUUGAAACUAAAAAUUGAAAUUUUAGUUUUUAUAAAAAUCAAAUCGAAUCGAUUUUGAUAAAAAAUUGAAUCAAAUUAAAUUGGUCUAAUUCAAUUUGAUUCGAUUCCGUUUGAUCGGUUUCAAUUUUUAAUAAUUUUUUUUUUAUUUUUUACCAUUUAUUUUUAUUAUUUUAAAAUUUAUUUAAAAUAUUUUAAUUUUAAUAAUUUUAAUAUGAUCUAAUCUCUCCAUAUUAUUGAAAAUAAUAUAUUAUUAUCACUAAUCGGUUCAGUUUGAUUUUUUUAAUUUUUUUCUGAUCAAAAUCCAACCGAACCGAAAUAAUCAAAAUUAAUAAAAAAUCAAACUGAAUUUUCAAAUUAAUUUAAUUCGAUUGAUUUUUUUAAUUUAAAUAGAAUACUCAUCACCCUUAACUCUUCAUCUAUUUAUGUAAUAGUAGAAAUACAGUUGGUUACUAUAUAUUUCAUCAAGUCUCCCUCAACCUUUUGGGAUAUAUCUCCUUAAAUUUAAGAUAUAUAUAUAUAUAUAUAUAAGCAAAUUAUUUUUCUUAAACGGUUAAAAUAAUAUCAUCUUCUAAUGCAAGUAUAAUUUGCCACUUUUAUUGAAAAUUAACAUGUAUAUUUUUUUAAUUAAAUUUUAAAAAAUUUAAUAUUUAGCCUAUAUAAUAUGCAAACUCAUUAGUAAGUCUUAAUUUUAAAAAAUACAUUAAAAUAUUUCUAAACUUUUAAAAUAUUUAUUAAUUUUUUAUUACUUUUAACCAUUAACUAUUUUAUUUUAUUUAAUUCUUAUAAUAUAAAAAAAAUUUAUUAAUUGAUAUUUUAGUUUUAUAAAGAUAUUUACUAAUUAACUUCUCUGGAUUAUUUUCACAAUAUUUAACAUUUAAAAUUAAUAAAAAAAUUAAUUGGUAAAUUUUUUAAAUGUUUAUAAAUAUUUUAUUUUUAAAAAUUAAAAAACUGACUAAUAAUUUUUCUUAUAUUAUAUAUAUGAACCAAAUAGUAUAUUUUAAAAAAAUUAAUUUUAAUUAUUAUUAUUAUUAUAACUAACUUUGUUAGCUUUAGUUAUUUAUGGUUAUUUUUAUUUAAUCAAUAUAAAUCAAAUUAAUUAUUAAUAUUAAUGAUUUUACAUAAAAAUUUUCUAAGUAAGUCCUCAACUAUCACCGUAAAAUAGGGCCAUGCAGCAAGGGUUGAGAAACUGAUAAGCAGUUUCACUCAUAGAAAGAAAGACUUGAACGACCAGCUCGAGCAACCAUCAUGCUCAGAAUUAAAAGAAAAGACCCGGCCUUAGGACAAGUCGGCUUCAGGUCAGAUAGACCCGUCCUCUUAAGCGAUAAGACGAGUCUCCGUAAGAAAGUUACUAUCUACUAGCUACAAUCUUGCAAAUCUCCUGCGAUCACGAGAUUUCCAACUAAUUAGCCAAUAAAAAUACCAUAUUUUCUUGAGAUUAUAGGAAGAAAACUGUUUUUAUUUUCUUACCUCUUGUGUAGUAAGUUACAGUGUUUAUAUAGUACGUAAUAUGAACAAUUAGACCUUUGAUUGUGCUCUCAAUUAUGUCCUAGAAUCAUGCUAUGCUAAACAUGGUAAGAUUUGAUCACUGAUUGAUUUACAAUCAUGACAGAGGAUUCUUUCCAACACUCCCCCUCAAGUUGGUUCAUGUGGAUCUAGCAUACCCAACUUGCCCAAAACCUCAUGGAAUAUUCGUCCAGCUACUGCUUUGGUUAGGAUGUCCGCCCAUUGAUCCUCUGAUUGAACAAACGGUAAAGAUAUUAGACCACUGUCCAACUUUUCUUUGAUGAAAUGUCGGUCUAUUUCAACAUGUUUUGUUCGAUCAUGAUGAACUGGAUUUUCAGAAAUGCUUAUUGUUGCCUUGUUGUCACAACGGAGUUCAGCUGCAUCCUUUGAUCCAAGCUCAAACAUCAACUUUCUAAUCCAUAGGAGUUAUGCCAGUCCUUUUGCUAUUCCCCUGAAUUCUGCAUCAGCACUUGACAGUGCCACCACCUUUUGUUUCUUACUUUUCCACGUUACCAAAUUUCCUCCUACAAAGGUGAAGUAUCCUAAAGUAGAUCGUCUGUCGGAGAGAUCUCCUGCCCAACUUGCGUCCGUAUAUCCACUGAUACUGAAAUGACCAUUCUUUUUGAACAACAUGUCCAUCCCAGCUGUUCCUUUCAGAUAUCGAACGAUUCUCAAUGUUGCCUCCAUAUGGUCUUGUUUUGGAUUAUGCAUGAACUGACUUACCAAACUCACAGCAUAUGCCACGUCUGGUCUGGUGUGUGAUAAAUAAAUCAGUUUUCCUACCAGUCUCUGGUACCUCCCCCUGUCUGUGGGUCCUUCUUUUGAGUCCUUGCUCAACUCGUGAUUGACCAUUACUGGAGUAUCGACUGGUUUGCAAUCUAUCAUUCAUGUUUUAGUUAACAGAUCAAGAAUGUACUUUCUCUGUGAUAUCAAAAUUCCCUGGUCUGACCUGAGAACUUCGAUUCCAAGAAAAUAUUUUAACAUCCCUAGGUCUUUCAUCUCAAAUUCUUGGAAUAAGUUGUCCCUCAGUUGUUUGAUUUCAUCCACAUCGUCUCCAGUUAUAAUCAUGUCAUCCACGUAUAUAAUCAAACACGUGAUCUUCCUUCCUUGCCUCUUCAAGAAUAGAGUGUGAUCGGAGUUACUCUGUCGAUAUCCAUUGUAACACCCCGGAAACCGGUACCUCUCUGUAUCGGCCUAAAGUGCUCGGCACUAGGAUCCAGAUCGGCUUAAGGCUGCCUAGACCCGUAAUAAGCCUGCUAUGAACUCUGUGUACCUGGUAAAAUCCCAUACAUGAUCCAACUCGACUACUAAGUUUUACUUUCUUUCUCUGUAAAAACUACCAGACUUAACCUUUAAAACAUCAGACAUCUCAAUCUGAAAUAGCCCUCAGGGCUAAACCAGUGAUACUCUACCAAGUAACCUCCAUGCACUAUGCUCUGAAACAUAGAACCCACUCUGUAGGGUCAGCAUAUCAUAAGUUAACCUUGGCUACCAUAGAGUCACAGGAUUCAAACCUGGUCUUCUCUAAUGGCCUCUCUAUGGGUCACAGGAAUCAAACCUGAUCUUCCCUCUGCACUGGUCUUGGGUCAAGGGAAUUAAACCCUGUCUUCCCUCACAGUUAUAAUUCACUGGGUUUUCGAAACACAACAUCUAUUAAGUCUGGUUUGACUCAUUUCUCAUCAAGAAACAUAAAACAGGAUACAUGCAUACACUAGGGAUCAACAUACUAUAAAGAUCAACAUACACUAAAAGCAAAGCACAUUCUAACUUAUACAUACACGAUCUUACUAACUAUUACAUGCCUUUACAUCUAUCUCUUUAAUUUACAUCAUGUCCACUACUCUAUUACACAUGCAAUACUGGAGCCAACACUCUGAUGCUUCUGACUCCCCAGCUAACUCUGUACCUGCAAAACUGGGAUUAAGGGAAAGGGAUGAGCUAUAAAGCCCAGUGAGUAGAAACACUGAAAACAGUUCAUUCAUACACACUUUAUAUGAAAUGUGUCACAACUCAAACAUUCCACAUCUUGGAUUAGACAUGACCUCAAAACUCCCUCUGUCGGCACCCGAUUCCCGUAGGAACUCACACAGGAUUUUCACUGCCAUGACAGAUCGUGGGCUAUUGAUGUCGCCUUGGUCCAAUCCCCACUAUCAAUCAAUAAUGCAAUGCACCAUAUUCGUGAUUCUCAUGCAAUCACCCUAAUACAUAACAUGGUAUCCAUGAUGCAUGAACUAUGCUAACGCAUUCCAUUUUCUCAGUAUAAAAGAUUAAGUUUAGUUCUACUCACCUCUGCUCCUCUAGCAGCUACUGUACUGACUCUGAAAUCUCUAACUCUGAUGACCUCCUCGAACUCUAGGGUCCAAACCUACACAAAUGGACUCGCAUGAGGUGUCAAACAGACUCUGAAUAACUCUUAAACAAUUCCCCAUAAUCCCCUCUAAACCUCUGAAAAUAAUUACAUAAAUCAUGCAAAAAAAGGCUGAACAGAACACAUUCGGCGGCAGGUUCGGCGGCCGAAUGUCCUCUCCAGAGCCGAAACUCAUGCAUGUUCGGCGGCACCUUCGACGACCGAAUGUGCAUGACAGAUCCGAAAGUCCAUUCUUUCGGAGGCAACCUUAGGCAGCCGAAACGACCUCCUCAAGGGGUUCGGCGGCCGAAUCCUCCCUUCGGCGGCCGAACCUGAGUUCAUCCAGAACUUAGUUUCGUGCAUGAACAAGCCUGCCAAGCACCAACUCCACUCCACAAGAGGUUCGGCGGUCGAAGCUGGGUUCUCCAGAAGGCAGAACCUUGCUUCCUCUCAUGCACAACCUCUCCAAACUCACUCUAACAUGCAUAACUCAACUCCUCAACUCACAUAUAUUAUGGUAUAUGCACAAAGGGGUCCAAACUACCUAUUAACCCCAACAAAACAACUAACACAACACAUAAUCAUGCUUUCACCAUGAAAACAUCAAAACUAAACUCUAAAACCUAAACAUGCAACUCUACCCUUAACCUCUUUAAAAGCCGUUAAACCAAGAAAACAAGUAUAAAGACCUCUCUUACCUCCGGAAACUAGAAGAGGAACAACUUGCACUCAGCAAAUCCCCUUCACAAAGCUUCAAACCACCAAAACCUCUCUUUUCUCUCAAAACCUUCAAGACUCGUUGAAACACACUCAACCCUCUGCACGAGCUGAUAAAAGCUUGCAGAUGAGUCAAGGGAGACGUGGCCUAACCUCUGGUCAUGAUCUGGAGGUGAACACCUGGCCAAACCACGGACUGAGGAGCGUGCACAACUUACCGACCACCUCAGCUUCGGCUGCCGAAACUGCAUGCAAAACCAUGCAACUUUCGGGGGCCGAACAUAACCUUCGGGGGCCGAACAUUGGGCACUUUCGGCGGCCGAACUUAACCUUCGGGGGCCGAACACGACAGAAACUCCUUUGGCCAAUUCUCCACAAAACUCAACUCUCCACAAAACUCAACUCUUUUCUUAAUCAAAAGCUUAAAACAUGUUAAAACAUUUUAGAACAAACUUACUUUGACCCUUCUAGAAUCUCUGACAGCUCUGAAUUCCACCGGACGGUAAGAAUUCUGAUGCCUGAACUAGCCGGGUAUUACAAUCUUUCCCCCUUAAAAACAUUCGUCCUCGAAUGUUAAAAAACACACAAGAACAAACAAAACCGCAAACUAUUCCUGAACUUCACAGCUUUCGCUGCGCUACUCUGAUCCUUAUCCUUCUCUUUCUUUUUAUCUUUUCUCAACUGUCCUCUUUUCCCUCUUAACUCAAAUAAUCUCUCUGUGAAACUCUCUCUCUUUAAUUCUCAACAGAUCAUAUACCCAUAUCUGUACUCUGAUCAUACCAAACUGUAAAUCCACUCAUCUUUGAUUAGAACAGUUAGUAGAUCAACAAUUCUAACUAGGAACACCUGUCCUUAGUAGGGACUUUGUUAACUGUGUACAGUCAUAACAAAAUCUCAAGAGUCUAUCCUUCGUUUCCCGCAACAAUACUGAAAACAUUCCAGGGUGAGGUACUAAGUCAGAUAAAAUCUUUAUCUACUAAGCUUCUAUACUAUUCUUACAAUUCUUAACUCUCUUUCUCUCUCUGCAGGUGCCAUCCUGUAGGGAAAGGAAAGAAAUGGUUCCGCGUCCAGACACCACUCUCGUUCCAAACUCUAGUUCCCUAACAGAUGGAAAACCUGACAGCUCGUCUAGGAAACAUCUAGUACUCACUGGCAAUAGGCACUGAGGCUAAUUCCCUGUCCUGACUUUUAAACAUGCUCACACGAGCUAGAAUCUUCUGAUAACCUUUCCUUUGUAGCUAUGAGCCUGAUGGGCUGAUAUCAAACCUCUGAGCAUCUAUACUCUGGACUCUGUCCUGUCUAAGGACUACCACUGAUCCAUCCUGUACUCUGACCUUUCUUACUUUCACUCUGUUGGCACAAGAAGUACCAUGAGUAGUUAGCCAAUCCGCCCUAGAAUGACAUCACACAGUCAAAUCUAGAACCAUAAGGUCAGCUGGAUCGCAUCUACUCACCUCUACGCUGAACUGAACGGACUGACUCUGCCUCUGAUGGAUCAUACUCAGGUCUACCGACCCAAAGAAAACACUCUAAGCCCAGAAGUCAUCAAACCCCCUCUAUCAAUGGCUCACUAAGCAACAAGGAAAAUGAAACACUGGGUUUCAAAACAACCAGCAUACACAUCCAAGCACUUCUAAGUGAACGUAUCUCACGUCACCGUGCAUAAUGUGUUAGCCGCCUACUAAAUCAGGAUGAAGAUCCAAGCUAAAGCUAAUGGAACUUCCCUCGGGAAUCUACUAAAGAAAAGACUGACUCUUUUCUCUGCCUCAACUACCAACUAAUCCCAGACUGACUUUAUCCUCUUUCUACGCUCACUCUUACUCCUCUUUCUUUUGAGAAAUCAAUUCUCACGAUUCUUGGGUUUAUAACAACCUGAGAUAUUAAAAUCUCACAGCAACUUUUUCUAGCUUUUCUUUGAUUCACUAAUCCUUUAACUAUUAACUCUUCUCUGAAUCUUUGCCAUAAAACUGACAUCCUACUAGGAUCCUCACAAACAUACCUCAGAUUACUCAAAACAAAAUGAGCAUACCUGGCGCAGAGGUAUCAGAUGUGUCUGCCUCUCUUCCUUGCCUAUUGGCUUGAGCCACUCUAUCUGCUAAAGUCUGCUGGGACUGAACUAUCCAGGGCGCAAUAGGACACUCACGCAUCAUAUGCCCCUCCUGACCACAUCUAUAACAUCCUGUUGUCCCUGCAAGACAAACUCCCUUAUGCAUUCUUCCACAUCUCUCACAUUUUGGUUUACCUCUACCAGAACUUGGACCAGCUCCACUAGUCCCUAACUCCUUAUUCUCAGACCCUUUAAAACCUCUCACCUUUUUCUUUCUAGUUCUCCCCCACUUCACUCCUGUCCAAGUGGCUGUACUCCAAGUGGAAAGUUCAUUCGCUCCUACACCUGACAUUUUAGUCUCCCUGAUCUGAUCAUCUUCUUCUACCAUAUUUACCUGUACACCAAUAUCCCUUCUUUGUACACCUACCUCUAUCUCUCUCCCGUCUCCUAACAUUCCUUUUCGGUCCAUUUCUUCUCUAUUUUCCUCACAAGACCCUUCAGACGGAUCUGAUUCCACAGAACUACUCAUCUUAGUUCUCCUUAAGAACAACACACAAAGAAACAAACAUUAGCACACAUGUUCAUAUGAAACCACAUGAACGUACAAUAUAUACAUGCAUACAUAGCAUAACAUUAAUACCCAUGAAUAUACAUGUGUAUUUCACAUCAGCAUGCAAAACAACUUCCUAUCUUAGUGGACAUGAUUCUACUUAUUGUGCUUUGCCUUUCUAUGACUCUAAACCAACCUCUUUCCGAUGUGGGAUCUCUCUAAUCCUUGAACAAACAUGCUCAACACACCGUACUUAGGAGGUCCUAUGCUCUGAUACCAACUGUAACACCCCGGAAACCGGUACCUCUCUGUAUCGGCCCAAAGUGCUCGGCACUAGGAUCCAGAUCGGCUUAAGGCCGCCUAGACCCGUAGUAAGCCUGCUAUGAACUCUGUGUACCUGGUAAAAUCCCAUACAUGAUCCAACUCGACUACUAAGUUUUACUUUCUUUCUCUGUAAAAACUACCAGACUUAACCUUUAAAACAUCAGACAUCUCAAUCUGAAAUAGCCCUCAGGGCUAAACCAGUGAUACUCUACCAAGUAACCUCCAUGCACUAUGCUCUGAAACAUAGAACCCACUCUGUAGGGUCAGCAUAUCAUAAGUUAACCUUGGCUACCAUAGAGUCACAGGAUUCAAACCUGGUCUUCUCUAAUGGCCUCUCUAUGGGUCACAGGAAUCAAACCUGAUCUUCCCUCUGCACUGGUCUUGGGUCAAGGAAAUUAAACCCUGUCUUCCCUCACAGUUAUAAUUCACUGGGUUUUCGAAACACAACAUCUAUUAAGUCUGGUUUGACUCAUUUCUCAUCAAGAAACAUAAAACAGGAUACAUGCAUACACUAGGGAUCAACAUACUAUAAGGAUCAACAUACACUAAAAGCAAAGCACAUUCUAACUCAUACAUACACGAUCUUACUAACUAUUACAUGCCUUUACAUCUAUCUCUUUAAUUUACAUCAUGUCCACUACUCUAUUACACAUGCAAUACUGGAACCAACACUCUGAUGCUUCUGACUCCCCAGCUAACUCUGUACCUGCAAAACUAGGAUUAAGGGAAAGGGAUGAGCUAUAAAGCCCAGUGAGUAGAAACACUGAAAAUAGUUCAUUCAUACACACUUUAUAUGAAAUGUGUCACAACUCAAACAUUCCACAUCUUGGAUUAGACAUGACCUCAAAACUCCCUCUGUCGGCACCCGAUUCCCGUAGGAACUCACACAGGAUUUUCACUGCCAUGACAGAUCGUGGGCUGUUGAUGUCGCCUUGGUCCAAUCCCCACUAUCAAUCAAUAAUGCAAUGCACCAUAUUCGUGAUUCUCAUGCAAUCACCCUAAUACAUAACAUGGUAUCCAUGAUGCAUGAACUAUGCUAACACAUUCCAUUUUCUCAGUAUAAAAGAUUAAGUUUAGUUCUACUCACCUCUGCUCCUCUAGCAGCUACUGUACUGACUCUGAAAUCUCUAACUCUGAUGACCUCCUCGAACUCUCGGGUCCAAACCUACACAAAUGGACUCGCAUGAGGUGUCAAACAGACUCUGAAUAACUCUUAAACAAUUCCCCAUAAUCCCCUCUAAACCUCUGAAAAUAAUUACAUAAAUCAUGCAAAAGAAGGCUGAACAGAACACAUUCGGCGGCAGGUUCGGCGGCCGAAUGUCCUCUCCAGAGCCGAAACUCAUGCAUGUUCGGCGGCACCUUCGGCGGCCGAAUGUGCAUGACAGAUCCGAAAGUCCAUUCUUUCGGAGGCAACCUUAGGCAGCCGAAAGGACCUCCUCAAGGGGUUCGGCGGUCGAAUCCUCCCUUAGGGGGCCAAACCUGAGUUCAUCCAGAACUCAGCUUCGUGCAUGAACAAGCCUGCCAAGCACCAACUCCACUCCACAAGAGGUUCGGCGGCCGAAUCUUUACUUCGGCGGCCGAAGCUGGGUUCUCCAGAAGGCAGAACCUUGCUUCCUCUCAUGCACAACCUCUCCAAACUCACUCUAACAUGCAUAACUCAACUCCUCAACUCACAUAUAUUCUGGUAUAUGCACAAAGGGGUCCAAACUACCUAUUAACCCCAACAAAACAACUAACACAACACAUAAUCAUGCUUUCACCAUGAAAACAUCAAAACUAAACUCUAAAUCCUAAACAUGCAACUCUACCCUUAACCUCUUUAAAAGCUGUUAAACCAAGAAAACAAGUAUAAAGACCUCUCUUACCUCCGGAAACUAGAAGAGGAACAACUUGCACUCAGCAAAUCCCCUUCACAAAGCUUCAAACCACCAAAACCUCUCUUUUCUCUCAAAACCUUCAAAACUCGUUGAAACACACUCAACCCUCUGCACGAGCUGAUAAAAGCUUGCAGAUGAGUCAAGGGAGACGUGGCCUAACCUCUGGUCAUGAUCUGGAGGUGAACACCUGGCCAAACCACGGACUGAGGAGCGUGCACAACUUACCGACCACCUCAGCUUCUGCUGCCGAAACUGCAUGCAAAACUAUGCAACUUUCGGGGGCCGAACAUAACCUUCGGGGGCCGAACAUAACCUUCGGGGGCCGAACAUUGGGCACUUUCGGCGGCCGAACUUAACCUUCAGGGGCCGAACACGACAGAAACUCCUUUGGCCAAUUCUCCACAAAACUCAACUCUCCACAAAACUCAACUCUUUUCUUAAUCAAAAGCUUAAAACAUGUUAAAACAUUUUAGAACAAACUUACUUUGACCCUUCUAGAAUCUCUGACAGCUCUGAAUUCCACCGGACGGUAAGAAUUCUGAUGCCUGAACUAGCCGGGUAUUACAUCCAUUUUUCUUCAUUGCUUGAGUAAAUCUCCCAAACCAUGCUCUGGGUGACUGUUUCAACCCAUACAAGGCUUGCCUCAAUCGACACACUUCUCCCCUUCUAUAUCCACUCAUGAACCCUAGUGGAGCAUCCAUGUAUACUUCCUCUUCCAGAUCACCAUGCAAGAAAGCAUUUUUUACAUCAAAUUGGUGAAGUGGCCAGUCUAGGUUUGCAACUAGAGAGAAUAGGACUCGUAUUGUAUCAAUUUUUGCUACUGGAGAGAAUGUUUCAGGAUAGUCAACUCCAUAAGUCUGAGUAUAUACUUUUGCUACAAGUCUAGCUUUAUAUCUGUCCACCAUUCCGUCUGACUUGUACUUUAUGGUAAACACCCAUUUGCAUCCCACUGGUCGUUUUCUCUUAGGUAGCCAGCAUUUUUUCCAGGUCUUGUUUUUCUCCAGGGCAUCCAUCUCGGUCUCCAUCGCCUCAACCCAUCUUUUGUCCUUCUGGGCCUCUGUGGCAUCCUUUGGUAUCCAUUCUGAGCAAAUAUUUUUUUGUAGGUUGACCAACUGAGGUGAUAGUUUUUCUCCUCUGGUAACGUUUGCCACAUGGUAUCUAGACUUGGCUGCCUCGAAUUCUGGAUCAUAUCUCCUGGGUGGAAUUCCUCUAUUAUUCCGAGGGGGUAGAAUAUAUUGGCCUGUUUCAGGAACCUCAAGGGAAAUGGGUUCACUGGUGAGGUUAUUAGGAACAGGGAAAAGUUCAGAUUCACAUACCUCAGUUGUGUGUUCCUCAGGAUAUUCUACGGUGUCAGGUUCUGGUUGUGACAUUGAGGCCGAGGACUGUACUAAAUGGUCAGUGUCUCCCGGUUCUGGUGUAGACUCAAGAAGGGAAGAAUGAUCAAGUUUUGGCCCCCCCCCCCUGACUAAGCCAAUUUGGCAGUGGUGGUGAUUGUGCCGCUGUCUCCCCCUCACUGCUAGUUGGCGAGGGAAAAAAAUAUUCCUCUUCCAGAAAGGUGCAGUCCAUGGUGGUGAAGAUCCGUUUAGAGAUUGGGUCAAAACACCGAUAACCCUUUUUAUGUACACCAUAUCCAAAGAAAACACAUUUAAGAGCACAUGGAUCAAGUUUAGUGCGGUGUGUUUUAGGAAUGUGAACAUAAACUGUGCAGCCAAAAAUUUUAGGUGGAAGGUUGAGAUGGGAAGGGAUGGUAUGAUGAGAGGACAAGGUAUGCAAGGGAGAUUGGAAAUUAAGAACGCGAGACGGAAGUCGAUUGAUGAGGUAAAUGGACGUGGCAACUGCUUCAGACCAAAACUUAGGAGGAACUUGGGCUUCAAACAAUAGGGCUCGGGCAAUCUCAAGAAUAUGUCGAUUUUUCCUUUCAGCGACCCCAUUUUGCAAGAUUAUAGGAAGAAAACUGUUUUUAUUUUCUUACCUCUUGUGUAGUAAGUUACAGUGUUUAUAUAGUACAUAAUAUGAACAAUUAGACCUUUGAUUGUGCCCUCAAUUAUGUCCUAGAAUUGCUAUGCUAAACAUGGUAAGAUUUGAUCACUGAUUGAUUUACAAUCAUGACAGGGGAUUCUUUCCAACAUAUUUAUCUCCAUUUUCUUAUAGCAUAAAAGGAGAACGAUAUCAGAGAUCGAAGUAUGCUAUCUUCUCACACAAAUACUCUGAACUUUAAGUAAUUUUUUACUCCCGCCUUGUUUUUCAGUUUACUGACUUGAGUAUCAGAGUGGCUGUCGUAGGUGUCAACCACCUCACACACACUUUCUCGCAGGAUUAGCCAAUCGUGCACAACAACUCAGUUCCGCUUUGGCCACAUCACCAUUUUUCAGUUCCAGCAACAUCAUUAGUUUCGCUGUCGGGAGAUCCAUUGAAUUUUCUCUGUUUAUUUGGAUUAAAACCGAUUUUCUAUCCCUUUUAUCUUAAAAGAAACCUUUUCUUUUAUUUUCUUUUGAAUGGUUGGCAUUUCACGAGUUGAUAAUAAGGUUCCUGCCAAUGAAGAUACCAUUAUAUCUUCCAUUCCUAGCAAUGAAUAAAUCACAUCUUCUAGGGUUCAUGAGCCAAAUUUUAACAAUAUGAGCACUGAGCAAAUGCUUCAGUAUGUCAGAAGAUUACGGAUUAUUUUUUAGUGGUGGAAAGCUCGGGAAGAGACGUCACUCAUGGCUCCUAAAACAAGAGAGGAAGUCUCCAUUGAUACCUUAAAGUCUCGGCCAGGAGCAAUCCAGACAUGGUCCAAAGGGAAGAACAAGAUCGAGGAAGAUGAGGUAUCAGACGAUGCUCCGAAAGACAUCGACCGGAGGCUAAUACAAGCUACUCCAAUGUACCAGGGAGGAUAGAAAGAAAAUAAAAAGAUGAGCCAAAAGCAAGACCAAAAGUAAAAAAAAAAAUAAAGAUAUGAGAGAGAUCACAAAAGUGACCAAGUCUCCCAAAAGAGGGAGAAUCAAAGUAAGUGUAAGAAUUAUAGUCCAUUGAAUGAUUUAUGAAUACAUAUUCUAAUGUGGAUUAGGAAGAGUGACAGGUAGGUCGGGUGGCCUCUCAAGCUCAAUCCAAAGGAAGCUGAAAAGCGAGAUAGGACUAGAUAUUACUGUUUUCAUAAAGACCAUGGAUAUAUAAUAGAGGAGCGCAGGCAUUUGAAAUGCGAGAUCGAAAGGUUAAAAACGGCACACUUCGAAAGUUCAUCAGAAAGAGUAGAAAAGAUAAGAGGUCUAAACUCGAGAUCACAAUUUCCAAAAUCACCCUUGACAGUAAACCUAUGAAAGAUUAUUCAUGUGAUUUAAGGAGAACCGAAGUUAAUAGGGGACCCCUGAAUCAAACUCUAAGAUUUUGAUAUUAGUCAAGUUAGAUAACCGAGUCUUUUAUUUUAUUUCUAAAAAGAGGUAAUUCGUGAAAAAUAUUAUAAAUAAAAGUAUUAUGUAUUCUUUAACAUUUUCUUUUAUCAAAAAAAUUGGAUGGAUAAAAGUGUGGAGAUAGAACCAAAGGCCAUAAGGCCGUCCGGACAGGGUCUCAGACUGGGCAUGGGUCCCACACAUAUAUUAGUCUUUGAAAACAAAUGCCACAAGGCUAUCCGGACAGAGGUCCCAGAUCGGGCAUAAGUUUUGCACAUAUUUUAGGCAUUGGUCCGCAGAAACAAAGAUCACAAGACCAUUCAGCAGAGGUCCCGGAUCGGGCAUGGAUCCCGCAUCAUAAUUUGGACGUUGAUCCACAGAAACGAACUCAUAAAAGCAAUGGAUAACUCAUCAGCAAUUGGACGAGUGUCGCUCAUGUAUUCGGCUACAGGGUGACUGCCUUUGGUGAUACGAGCAAGUUGGUCUUGUAAAUGAAUGAUUCGGGUUUGAGAUUUGCUGCCAAAAGCAGUUUGAAGAGAGGUCCAUACUUUGCAAGCAAUGGAAGCAUUUGUGAUCGAAUAAGCAAGUGUGGGAACAACAGAAGCUAAUAUGGCAUUAUGAACUAAUUUAUCUUGUUGAAACCAUUUCUGGUAAGCCGGAUUGGAAGUAGUAUUGUUGUCAAUAGUGAUUGUUUAUGGUGGGGCAGGGAAGCUACCAUCUAGAUAGCCAUGAAUAUUGUGUCCAUACAUUGAGCAUGGAGACUUGGGAUUUCUAAGUUGUGUAGUUGCUGCUGCCUGUGAGUUUGAGAGGUAACUGAGAUGCUGGAUUAAAUUGCACUACAAUGUUAGUGCCGGUGGUGAUGUCAGAGUUGACAGCGUUUAUAGUUGAGGCCAUUAUGAGAUCGGAAACUGUGGGCGACGAAGGGAAAAAUAAAUAAAUCAAUACUCGUUGGAGUGUAUUAUUACUCUGAUACUAUAAGAGAUAUUUAAGUAAAUGGAGAAAUUUAUAUUUUAUUCAAUAAUAAAUUAAGUAUAUAUAAGUAAUAUAUUCAACACAGUUCUAAAAUAAUCUCAAUAAUAUAAUUGAAAUAUAAAAAAUAAAAAAAUAAAAAAUCAAUCAAUAAAAAUUAAAAUUAAGAAAAAUUAAAUAAAAAAAUAAUAAAAUAGUGGACUUGGUGAUCAGCAUUUGAAACAGUUGGUUAUUAAUUUGCAGCAGAAUAAAGACAUCUCUUGCUAAUUCCGUCAAAAAUAUAAAAGGAUGAACGAGGAAUUUGUGGGCUAUAUAUGAACGAGGAAUUGUGAGCCCACAAAAAUAACCUUAAUUUAAAUAUUAUUUUAUAAUUUUAAUUAUAAUAUAAUUAUAUGUUAGAAAUUCUUAAUAAUAAUUUAAGUAAAAGCCUAUUUAUGUGCAUACAGUAGUAUUAUUUUAGAAUUUUGAUUUUAAUAUAAUUAUAUUGUAAAUGGAAAUCAAUUGUCUUUUUAAAAUUAGAAUUCUAAUCAAUAUUUACAUUUAAAUAUAAACAUUUUAAUUUCAAUUUAAUUUUAUUUAAAUUUUAAAUGCCUUUAAUGGCUAAGUCUAUAAAAAAAAAAAAAGAAUUUUGAACAAUAAUAUAAAUGAAACGUUGAGAAUCUACGCAUGUAAAUUGUGGAUAGUGUAUGUGUAUAGAUUAUAUAGAAUUAGAGUGUUUAAAAUCACCAUAAUUUUAAAAUUAAUUGUUUUUUAAUAAAAAAAAUUAAUUUUAUAAAAUAUAAAAAUAUUUUAAUUAAAUAAUUUUUAAAUAUAAAUGAACUAAUAAUUUUUUACCCAUUAUAAUUCUCUCAUAUGGUUUGGAAUUUUUGUUUUAAAUGAAAAUUGAAAAUUGAAUAUUGAAAAUUGGAGAGUAGAAUUAGACAUCUAUUAGAUUUACUCAAAUACACUUAUUAUAAGACUAAAUUUGUGAGUGCAUAGUUUGGGAUAUUAUUAAAUUUUAAAAUACCACAAACAUUAUAUAAAUAUAUAAACCCAUGAGGCGAAAACAUAGCAGGAAACUUAUAAGCAUACAUGUCAAUUAUUGAGAUGGCAAGAGCACCAUUUAUUUACUUGGAUUCCCCUCAAUAGAAACAUCCAACACUUUACCUAACAACGUACCCAAGAUUAUAAGCAUACUUGACGAGAUCUUCCAUUUCUGACAUGUCCACAACUCCAUCUCCAUUAGAAUCAGCAAGUUUGAUUCCUUGACGGGCCUGUUGAGCAGGGAACAUAGCACCAAGAUAAUUGAAAGCUUGUCUAAUCUCUUCCCGGCUAAGAACGUUGUCUCCAUUCAGAUCGAACUUCAUGAAGAUUUGCCUCACUUGGUCUUCAGUCAGGGGAGCAGGAGCACUUCUGUAACUGUUCACACGGCGGGGAUUGGAGGGAAUAUGAUAUGAACAUGGUGGUGGUGGAGUUGGGUUGCUUGGAAACCAAGCAGAUUGGGCAACAGCAGGAGAUGAUCCCCAGAAAGCACCAUUUGCGGGCUUGUCAUUGCACAUUGAGGGCUUCUCCUCAUGCAUUGGCUGAUGGUUUUGGGAAUGGAAAGGAAAAGGAGUGAUGUUAUAUUCUUGGGUGUAUUGGAUAGAGUAAGACAUGGUUUUCAAGUGGUGAGGGGACUUAAACAGGUUUUGAGUUUGUAGUUUUCUUGA
rnacentral:lncRNA from 1 species